rnacentral:lncRNA from 1 species
GCCCCGAUGCCUGGGAAUUUCCAGAUUCCAUCUUUCUCAGGGUAGGAUGGAUACCGGAGCUCACCAGCUGGACCCAUCCCAACUUGAAUUUCCUGGAAAAUCAGAUAAUACACAGUUCAAGCAGUUUGCAUCAUAAUCAGAUAACAGAAACAUAAAGAGUUCUUUUUAUUGAAAAUGGGGGUGAUUAUGAAUCAAUGAAUUACCACAACAGUUUCACCAAGAAGGUGUUGGAAGUUAUCCCUAAAUGCACGCAUGAAGUCAGAGUAGCACUGCACAGGCGAUCGGCCCUUAAGGACUGGCAGCGUAUCACAGCCAAGGGACAAGUACUCGGAGUUCCUCCUUCUCGUAGUUCCUCCUUCCCCAUUGAUCUGUGUAUGCAAGAUCAUUGUCUUUGUGCAUCUCUUCCACAACCCAGUUUGGCAGAGGAAUACUAAAACAACAACAACAAACGUUCAUCAGAAGCCGUCAGCUUUCACGGAUAAACCAUCACAGAUACAGGAUAUUCCCAUUAAUCCAACCAAUUUGGCAACAAAGGAGUCCUGGACAUGCAAAAUUGGUAAAUGAUACGAGGGCUCUCAUUUCUAAUCCUUGAAAUCGGAUGUUCGAAUCAUUUUAUUAGGGAUUUGGACAGAGGACUACCAAAUCUAGCGCUCAAAUUCCACGAAACUAGACAUGAAAAAAGAGAGCCAUAGUUAGGAAGUGAAUAAAAAACUGCGAUUGGAAGAACUUACUUGCAGGAGUCGCCGACGUUACCACCGCACUGGUGGAAAGACAUGACAGCCUGGACCUUAAGGCCAUGGCGCUUGGCCAUCUCCAGAAGAUCGGAGUAUCCGCCCCAGUUGUAGACCCCCGGAGCUUCUCUCUCAACCAAUCCCCACCAGACAUCGAUCAUUAUCCCUUCCACUCCUGCGCUCUUCAACGCCUGCAAACUCACGUUCAUCGCCUUCUUCCUGUUCACCGUAUGGUUCAUCGUCACGCUGUCCAACGGCAUCAUCACGAACACUGGGACCCCCUUCCCGCUGUCCUUGCUCCUCGCUCCAUCCUUAUACAUCGAUUCCUCCAUCGUCGCCGCUGCCGCAGCCGCGUCUGUGGCAUUUGCGAGACCUUCGAUUGAUGGAUCUGAGCUCGAGGGAGAGCUCGGCCGCAACGUCCUCUGCUCCACCCCGUCGGUCGUCUGAACUUUGCAAUUGUCUGCAGCCGGAGAUUUCAACAUCACCGCAGCCGCUACCGUGGAUUCGUUCGACUGGGCGACGGGAAGUCUUGGCACGGCCAAAGCUCCCAACUGAUGGGUGAGGUUCAAAGCCAUUUUAUUCUUAUGUAAUAUGUAUUUAAAAAUUAAAAAUUAAAAAUUAAAUUUUAGGUCUGGGAAUCAGGAAUUUGAAGAUUCGUCGCCUGAUUCAAUUUAAAAGAAGGGUGAAGGAAGAGCUAUUUGAAUUCUUUAACUUACUCCGGCGGAGGAGAGUCAGCGGUAACCACCGGGGACGGAGAAGUCAAGAAAACAAAGCCUUCGAAAGGAUCAGGCGACCAAUCGGAAAUUGUUAUUCAAAUGUUACCUAUGCAAUGAAAUUGGUUUUGGGACGGAGGAGCCCCAAGGUUUAAAUACUCGUCUUCUAACUCACCGUCAUUUACGUGCCACGUGUCACCAUACAUCCUACACAAUUUUUAAACUAAAUUUAAAAAUGAGGCACGUGGCAGAAUUUUGUGGGGGUCAUCAACAAUCCCCCAUCCACCGCCAUAAGUAACUAAAAGUCAAUUUUGCUUUUAUGCCAAAACCAAAUUUCCCUCACUGUUUUACCUCUGUUAAAAUUUGGGCCAUCUAUUUUUUUUGCAAUUCUCUAAAGUCAGUUAUUUUUUUGUGGUGCAAAAUAAGCAUUUGCAAUGCCAAAAAUCUAACUGCUCAGAAUGACCAUACAAAUUUUGACGAAUAAAAUUAUAUAUAUAUAACAAAAUCUAAGAAGGGAGUCAUCUAAGAAGGAAUCUAAAAAAUCUAAUCACUAGCCAAAAACCGUCGUUGAAAGCGAUCGGCGGAUGUAGAAUAUGCCGAUGCCGAUUCAAAUUCCUUGAAGAACUUGAUUUUUGUCACUUGAAAAUAUUUAUUCUCUGUCAUAAAAUUCAUCCAAAAGGUUCUCUCCCGGAUGAAUGAAAGACUAGUCCUUAUAUAGAGUCUAAAUCCUAAUUGUUGAAGGAUGUUGAAAUUGAUGUCUACCAUUGUCAAAAUUGUGCCGUAAAUUAUACCUAAGCUUAUGAGGAAAGUUGGAUCCAAGCCCGAGAUUUUUUGGUAGAAUUGGCGCCUAAGACUAAUAAAACUUUGCAUGCAAAUUUGUGUAUGUUAGGCGUCAUUUUUGUCGAUUUUCAGCAGACUGUAUUUUCAGCCUUUUGAAUUAUCGUGAAUGCUUCAAUGAUGUUGAAUACCUGAAAAUCUACCUAAACACUUCAAAACGAUAUCAAAUGGAGUCUAAGUGGUUUCGAGACGCUAAAUUGAUAUAUAAGUCUAAAAUGUGCAAAACACUCUAAACUUAAACUCAAAGUGACAAACAUAUGCACAAAAUAUCGUUUAAAUAGAGAAAAUUAACACGGUAAAUCAAACACCAUUACAUAUCAUAGUCAAUCUUUCACGAAUUUAGACUAGCCACAAAGAGGAGAACCCGAAAAUGAUCUAGAAGAGUGAAGAAAAAAGUUCACUCCAUCUCAUAACAAGUUUUAGAGCUAUAAAAUAUUCUUUUCCCUUUUUUUUACAUUGAAAUUAUUACAUCACUUCAUGAGUGAUAAUCACAUUAUCUGAAAUCUCUCGGUAGGGAACAAAUCCAUUUUGAGUAGAGUUUACAGUCGAUGUAAAUACCUUUACCAAAAACGUGGCAAAAAGUUUCAUAAUGAUUUUAAGGCAAAAUACUCUAAAAAGUCGCGAAGUUUGGGCAUAUGUCAAGAAAUGCCGUCAUGGUUUUGAUAUAAAUGUUUUAUCACGAAGUAUGACAUUUCACGCCAAACACGUCUCGUAGUUAAUUGGUAUUGUAUUCCAUUAGUCAAUUGCCUCCAAACUGGACAUUAACUCUCUUACGUGACAUAUAAAUUGUCACAUCUCAUAUCACAUAAAAAUGCCACAUCAUUAAUUAUUUUAAACUAAAUAUAUAUUAAUUAUAAAAUAAAAUAAACAAAUUAUCUAUUUCUCUUUCCAAAUCAAACUCCAUAACUCUAUCCACCUCCGAUUACAACUACAACUUUCAAUUCACACCCCCUUCCAAAAUUCCCAAACACAUAACUUCUCCUCCUUCUUCACCCUUCACUGAUCAAAUUCAUCCUCUCUACCCUCCACUUCACCAUCUCACUCUGCAAAACCAGAUCGAUCACAUGGACUGAUUGAUUUGCCGAUCUCAAAAAAAAAAAGACUAAACGACGAUACGACUUUCACUCUCUUCAUAUUAAUACCCGUCGCUACUUUCAGAUACGCUUCCAUGAAGGUUUUGUAUAACCAGCUCUACAUUAAAGUGUAAGGCACCGUUGUACUUAAUUUCGUUAACCUGAUUCUAUAUCUGUUUACAAAAACCUUCUCGCCGUCGAUUGUGAUCGACUUUAGAUUGAUGAAGUAUCCGACGCCGAGGGGGGCGGAAGAGGCAACGAGGGGAGUGAAAAGCAGUGACCUUAAUAUUUUCAUUCCGAAUACAGAUUCAACAUGAGAAUCACCGAACGUCAAUACGCCGACGUCAGAAUUUCGGAAGCAGAGGACGAACCUCCUGCUUCGAAAGCCGAACUACGCCGUCGGGAAGAUCUAGCUCUUUCUUCCUCCUAAUCAGAUCAUUCCAAGAGCGCCGCUUGUCAGGCCGUUCAACAUCAAUGUUGACCCGCAAGAGAAGAUGAAGCAGUCAACUGUAGCUGUUGACCCGUCGAUCGAUCGGACGGCGACAGGGGAUCCCACGAGCUGGCCGUUCAAUCUUACCCCGCAGACGUCGUUACGGUUUCGACAUGGCAUGCUGCGGUUUUAUCAAAAAGAUGGCCGACGUUGGAAUUCACGUUGGUGCAUUGGAUUGAGCGGCGAGUAAUGAAAUUGAGGUGGUGAGGUGAUGAGUCGUGGACACAGAGAGAAGGGCUGCCGAGAUUGAAGACUAGUUUGAUGGGUUGGGGACGGUGGUAGAUUAGGGUAGUGAACUGGUGAGUGGCGGAAUCUUUGGCGACAAGGAGUAGGAGGAGAUUGGAGGAGGCAUGGAUGAUGUGGAUGAGAAUCGGGGAAAGAGAAAAGAUGAUGAUGAGCAGAAGAGAAGCCAUCAAGGUCACGUGGCAAUAAAAACGGGUAAAUAUGCUGAGUCACUUACAGUCGCAAGGCCACAUGGCAGGUAAUAUAGUACAAACUAACGGCAAGGCAUUCUUGACGUGAAACUGCAUACUUCGUAACAGAAAAUCUAUAUAAAAAUUGUGAUGACAAUUCUCGACAUAUAUCUAAAUUUCGUGACAUUCUAAAGUAAUUUUGUCAUGAUUUUAUAGGACAUCUAACAUAUUCCAAUGUGUCUAGUUUGUGUAAUUGAAUUAGCCGUUGUCACCUUGAGAAUAAAAUAGAGGGAAGUAUGGUUUACAUUCAGCAUUCGUGAUAAAUGAAACGAUGCACGAAUCGUCGGAAUGUAGAAACCUGCCGUAGAAGGUGUCAGAGCCUGGUGCUUUCGAUGCUCCAAUGGCGGGCUAAAUUAAUAUCUGAAUCAGAAAAAUGGUUGAACUAAACUAGAAGACAUGCUAUAAUCAGUCAGGGCGGGGCAAUUAAAGUGUGAAAUUUGAGAAUGGAAGAAGCCGAAGAAGAACUGGAGGAAAAUCACUGCAAUCCGUGUAAUUUUAUAUUUAAAAUCAUGCUUUUCAGGGGCCAGAAGCAAACAAUUUUGAACAGUUUAGCUACAUUUUAUGUACAAUAUUUGUAGCUACAUCUCGAACAACUUAUUCUUCCUAAAUUUCAUAUACAAAAGCCAAACAAAUUCUAAGAGCACAUAACCAGUUUUUCAUGGGAUAUAUACAACUCUCAUGAUUCAACAAAAACUGGUACUCUCUCAAGCAACUAACGCACAGCAGCAGCAACCGCAUCCACCUCUCGUACCAGUAGCGGCUCGCUAAUAUGCACAAAGUGUUCAGCUUCCCUCUCUAAUUGCUCUGCACACCGAUUAGCACCUUUACCUUCCUUCAUCUUCUUCACCAACCCCACAAAUGGCCUCCAAUUAUCUGCUUCAAACAGAGUUGGAUUCAUCCUGAGAUAUGUGAAUGCACACAUUUUUUUCUCAUCAUUUUCCCCAAUUUUCAAUGAUGAUGCAUGUAGGAUCUGCUCAUGAGCAUACUCAUCAUAACGUGGCAGGGCAUUCUCCCCCGCCAAACCAAUUUGUGUAUCACGUGUUGCCAAAGCCACUUGCUUGACCAAUUUCUCUGGAGCACACAAUGCGUCAUGGGGUUGUUCAUGGUCUCGCAUCUCAAUGCAAGUGAAAUUAAAGAUGGCACCGUGGCGAGCCAACAUUCUAGCAAUAGGGAGAUAGCCAUUAUGGUUUUUGGUGUUGUAGUAUCCUGCAGUGAGUUCUGGGGCGUGAGAUUGACUGCCAUAGUGCCAAUGGAUACCUGCUACUUUCACAGAGAUUUUUGUGUCAUCAUUGUUGAAGAUGGAUGUUGCUGAUGACAUAAUUCUCUCCCCGUGAUCCAAUAACAUUUUGGAGUACCAAUUGAGGAAGAAUUCACCAUAAGGACUAGUCCACCCACCGUUAUCCUUUCGAAAGAAUUGGGUGUCUUCCGGCCAAUUGUUGUAUUGUCCAGCAUCUGUCGGUCCUGAGCUCCCCCAUUCUGGUUUACCAGCUGCUUCAGCUGCAGCUCUUAAGUUGUUGAGCAUGUACUGCAUACCAUCAUUAUAAGACCAAAUUGUACAUCCCCAUAAAUGAUUGGAUUAGAAUUUAACUUGUAAGAAGAACUUCAAAAAAUUACCUUGUCAUAACAUUGGAAGGCCCCAAUGCCUGGAAAUUUCCAUGUCCCGUCCUGCUCUGGAUAUGAAGGGUACCUAAGCUCACCAGCUGGACCCAUCCCCAGUUGUAUUUCCUGAAUUGAGAUUUCAACGGUGAAACAAUAUCCCUAGAUUCACCAAUAACCAAUAAUGAAAAUAAGUAAUUUACCACAAUGGUGUGUCCAAGAAGAUGCUUAAAUUGGUCUCUGAAUGCACUCAUAAACCCGGCAUAACAUUGAAUCGGCGAUCGGCCUUGGAGAACUGGAAGAGUAUCAGAGCCCAGUGACAAAUACUCAUAGUUCCUCCUUCCCCAUUGAUCUGUGUAUGCAAGGUCUUGGUCUUUGUUCAUCUCUUCCAUGACCCAGUUGGGUAAAGAAAUACUGUAACAUAUCAACGAAACCCUUAAAUCCAAAUACUCAAUUGAAUCCAAUAAAUCUAAUCAAAAUGAAUCUUAAGUUUUUAUGAGUUAGAGAAUCAAUAUUUUCAUUUUCUCUUGUAUCGCUAAUUAACGAGGCUAACUAAUCAAACUGAACCCUAAGAAUUGAAAUUUAUUGGGAAUAUUAAGAAUGUGUUAAGUAGACCAAACUUGCAGGAGUCGCCGACGUUGCCACCACACUGGUGAAAUGACAUGACAGCCUGGACCUUGAGCCCUAAGUGAUUGGCCAUCUCAAACAAAUCAGAGUAGCCUCCCCAAUUGUAAACUCCUGGAGCGUCUCUCUCCACCAAUCCCCACCAAACGUCGACCAUAAUCCCUUCCACACCAGCGCUCUUCAACGCCUGCAAGCUCACACUCAUCGCCUUCUUCCUGUUCAUUGUGUUGUUCAUCGUCACGCUGUCCAAUGGCAUCAUCACGAACACUGGAACCCCAUUACUCGCAUGAUUACUUCCGCCUCCCCCCCUAUGCAUCAUUGACUCUCCAUCUACACUCUCCGGUAUUGCCUCGGUUGCCAAUGCGCUACGCGUCACUAAUGUAUGGGCCCGCUUGCCUUCUCCCCCGUUGCAACCUAGAAUCGCAGGUGGCGACCUUUGCUCAGCCAAGUCCAUUCUCUGGCUCAUGCGAUUGGCCAGCAAUGGACAGGCUGAGGGAAUCGUUUCAACUAGGAGCCGAGAUCCUUGAAGAGCACCUAGUUGAUGAGCAGCCUUUAUAGCCAUUUGCUACAAGCUUUAUAAUGCAUGCAAAAAAGACAAGCGGGAGGCGGGAAGGAAAUUAAAAUGUGAAAUAAUAAUUUGAUGAAUUAUUGGGAUUUAGAAAAAGGGAGGAUGAGGUUUUGUUCUCAAAAGAUCAUCCUCUCUUUUGAUUGAUAAUUAUUGCGGUGUUCUUAUUUUUUUAAAUUAUUUUAUCAAACAAGCAGAGAUAUCCAUACUAUUUAUUGCAGUAGCAUUUGAUAAAUAUGGUUAUUUUUAUUCCAACGGUAUUGCGGUGCUGGCGGACUAAUUUCCAAUCUUACUAUUCAUUGAUUGGUUCUAAUUAAACUGCUUUUAUACCUGGUUAUAAUUUAGUAGGAAGAGUCUGCUUUUAUUUCGUAAUUCUACUUAAAAGUUAGAAUUAGAUUUGGGAAAAAUUAACGGAAAUUUUGGUCAACGGGUUAGAACUUAUGGGAGACCAACAUUUUUGAAUAUUUGAAUUGGUUGUUUGUUAGACAGGGUACAGUAAAGCCAAGGAUUCUUCGUCCCCACGAGACAAAAGAGCAGAAGAAGAAGAGGAAGAGAUAAUGAAAACGCAAACAGUUUGACCAACUGAAGCAAGCAACUUAUAUUGACUCAUUCAACCCAUCAAAAAAAGAGGAAAGGAGCCAACUUUAUUAAUACAGAUUCUCACAUAUUUGCAAGUGAUCCAGACCUCCACUAUAAGAAAGAAAACCCAACUUCCCACCAUUAAGUAAAACCUACAGAAUUCAUCCAGAGAAAUGGCGCAAGUUGGAGUGAUGAAGAGGAUACAGCUGGGUUCGCAAGGUCUACAAGUGUCUGCUCAAGGUCUGGGAUGUAUGGGUAUGUCUGCGUUCUACGGACCUCCAAAACCAGACCCAGACAUGAUCCAUCUCAUCCACCACGCCGUCAACUCCGGCGUCACUCUCCUCGAUACGUCUGAUGUAUAUGGCCCUCAUACCAACGAGAUCCUACUUGGAAAGGUAAUUGGAGUUGCCCUAUAUAUAUAUCUCUUUACAGUUUGCAGGAGCCUCUAGCUACUUCAUCUAUGUAAUGGAACAGGCUUUGAAAGGAGAGAUUCGGGAUAGAGUCGAACUGGCUACAAAAUUCGGAGGCAUUUUGAACGAGGACGGCACUGGAGAGAUCCGAGGGGAUCCUGCUUAUGUAAGGUCUGCUUGUGAGGCCAGCUUGAAGAGGCUCGGUGUCGACUCCAUUGAUCUCUAUUACAUCCAUCGCGUUGAUGUCCGAGUUCCAAUUGAAGCCACGGUAUUCACUUUUUACCAUAUGCAAAAUGAUUCUUUACCUUGGCAAUUAAGUCGAAAAGUUGUGAUAAUACUUGUUAUAUUUGACAUGGUACUGCUGAAGAUGAUGGAGCUGAAGAAACUGGUUGAAGAGGGUAAAAUCAAGUACAUAGGUAUCUCAGAGGCAUCUGCUUCCACCAUCAGAAGAGCUCACGCUGUUCAUCCUUUAACCGCUGUCCAACUGGAGUGGUCGUUGUGGUCGAGAGAUGUCGAACAAGAGAUCAUCCCCACUUGCAGAGAACUCGGGAUUGGGAUUGUUGCAUAUAGUCCUCUAGGACGAGGAUUCUUUUCGUCGGGAACCAAACUGGCUGAUACCUUUUCUGCGGGUGACAUCAGACAGGUUUUAAUAACUUGGAACUAUUACACUUGUUAAUUUAUCAGAGUAGCUAGCGAGUGUGUUGAUAAUCUUUUAUGGUUGCAAAUAUUGCAGUAUCUACCAAGGUUCCAGCAGGGGAAUAUAGAACACAAUGCAGCGGUAUUCGAGAGGGUGAAUGAGAUGGCGAGUAGAAAAGGGUGCACCCCGUCGCAACUGGCGCUUGCUUGGGUGCAUCAUCAGGGAGACGAUGUGUGCCCGAUUCCAGGGACCACCAAAAUUGACAAUUUCAAUCAGAACGUUGGAGCUUUGUCUGUGAAGCUGAGUCCAGAAGACAAGGCUGAACUGGAGUCCAUUGCUGCUGGAGAUGCAGUCAAGGGUGAUAGAUAUGCACAAGGAACCCCAACUUUCAGUAACUCUGACACUCCACCUCUUUCUUCAUGGAACCCUCCUCCUCCUGCUGUCUGAGUUAUUUAGUCAAUUCCCAAUGAAGGUUUCAGCUAGUGAUUGUUCGAAUCAAGAUCAAAUAAAUCAGUCUGGUUUUCUCUUCAGGUUUGUCCCCCCCAGCAUGCCUGACUGACAUGCACAGUGGUAUAGGCUUAAGUCGAAGUUCCUUCCUUGCUUCUCUGUUUAUGUUAACCAAAUAAGCAAUGUCACUUGACUAGCAUUGAAUAGACUGCCGAUUAUGUUAUGUGCUUCUAUCUCUAUCUUUAUUAAUGUCACCAACUGCGACCAUUUGUUUUGCAACAUCUCUCGAAAGUUCGAUCAAGAUCAUGAAUGUCAUACCCAAAUCCUUUCCAUCGCUUCUGUUUUCAGAGAAAUUCAACUUUAUAUCCUUCACUCAAUUGAAACCCUUAUCCUUAAAUUAGCGGUCAUGUAACAAGCCAACUUUACAAUUUCAAGUGAGGUCGUGUUCAAGCUGGAUGACAGGAGAAGAAUGAGUUAGAUUUGAAUCUGGUUGCUUUUGCUUGACGGUUUCGACUCGUCGUUUUACCCAUAGAAUGAAUGCACUCUUUGUUCAUAGUUUUCAUCAGCAUACCCUUUGACAGGUGAGAAUUAGGCUACAACCACAUUGCUUGGAAGCAUUGAAUAUGGUUAGCUGAGGCUAAAUUCAAAUAAGCCAUAACAUGAUUGUUGAAUCUACCUCAUCAAGGAAAACAGUUAUGGAUGGAUAUUUCCUAUCAACUGGAUGCAUACGGGUAGCAGCAGCAGACUAAUGGAGAUGUUUAGUGCAGAAACAAGUUGAUACAGAAGAGGAGGCGAUAAGAAACAAUAUAAAAUCCUAAAAGGUCGAUUGUAUUGCAACAAUGUGACUUCUCUUUACCCACAGCAAAAGCAUCAGCUACCCAGAAUUCGCUUGCCGAUUUAAUCCCCAAACGAGUGAUGUUUGUAUCAAAAGCCUACACGACUCGCCCUUGUGGUCGAAACAGCUAGGUUCAUUGUCAUGCAGAUUCUAAUCAGUGAUUUCAAAUUAGGUGCAGUGGUCAAUCCAGAUUUCUCUAAUUAGUCGAUCAUCAAAUCUAGCAGUAGAUUAGGAGUAUAGGUCGGAAUUCGAUUGAUUGAACAGUCAAACUGAAUUUAAAUCACUAAAGCAGCGGCGAUUACAUGAUAAUAAGCACAUAAACUAGACAAGAAACUUCAGCAGUGCUUCUACAAUUUCCAGUGCAUAGCAAAAAAAAGGAAGAGAAGGAGAAGCUAACAAGGACGAAACACAGGUACUGAAGCGGAUGGAUGGUGCGCGAGGAGGAGCUUUAGUUGAUGUCGGAGUCAUCGAAAUCAUCCUCGAACUUGUUGAAGAAAUCGGCGUCGACGAGCUUGCUAUCGUUCAUCAUGCCUUCGUUGAAGAUCUCGAGCGGAUCCACGUCGUCGACGUCCAUCGCCACCGUCGACCCUUGCUCCUCCAUGUCCGCAAAGAAAUCCAUCUGCAUCGGCCUCAUCUUCUCCGUUGCAAAUCUCUGAACAAAACCCUACUUCUCGUUGAAAAGCUCCGGACCAGAGGAAUCGUCCAAACAAGCAACCAAUUUACCUUGACGGAGAAAGAAUUGAAAAAAAAAAGAAAACAAGUUGAAUAUAUAUAAGAACCGACGUCACCGUCAUUUAUUUCUGCUCCUUAAUCCGCGGCACAGCGGGCCUGGACCAGGAAGGAAGGCCAAGUAUUGGGCUUUAGCGGCCCACAAAAGAAUAGGAGUCUGAUAAUCAGAUUUGUAUACUUUUCUGUUAAUGGAAUGGAGAAGAUAACAGGAACGUGGCGAAUGGAGGAGCAGCAAAUCAGUCCCUGCUGCUGGUACUCUGCCAAUGGAAGCCACUAUCCUUCCCGGCGGCGCUGUUGGUCGUCGCUUCCUGCUGACAAAGUCAUCCUCCAUUACACCUCUUGGAGAACCUCUACGGCACCUCUACGGCUUCCGAAGAACCUUUCCGUUCCCGAUUCUCUCCGUAGCAACAGAGAAUUACACAUCGUCGUGGCCAGGUGCCAACGUCGGGAUGCUAGUGCUGACAAGGGGGAGGCAAGAGCAAGGUCAAAGACGACGAAGCGGACGUGGUGGUCGGAUGAGCCGCCUGAAAUGGACAGUAAAGAAGACGAAGAUGAAGAAGAAGAAGAAGAAGAUGUUGGGGUUUUGGAGGAAGUGAUAGAGAGUAUUUGGAUUCUCAAGGUAAUCUUCUUCACUUACUCUACUCCUUUGUUUAACUCAUUUUGCAGCAUAGCGUAGUAUUCUGAAAGGGGUUUUGGGUGUGGGAAAUCCGGGCAGUGCAGAUAUUCGAACCAUACGGCUGGGUGCUUCCGGUGAUAAUGACAUCAUGGUUGGCAGCGACUGGCCCAAAAGCCUUCCUUAUGGCGUCAGCACUUCCUUUGGGUCAAUCGGCGGUGACUUUUGUGAUCGGUAGAUUGUUGGGGAAGAAGACGAAGAAGAAGAAGAAGAGGAAGAAGAAACAACCGAAGCCGAAACGCAGGGUGGUGAACAGGAAGAUGCCGUCUGCAUCUCCCUGGAAAGGACGAAGCAGGAGCAUAAACGAAAUUAUUGAAGAAGUGGAAGAAGAAGGAAGAAGAAGAAAGGCAGAGGAAAGUGCAAGUGGAAAGGUGCGGUAUGAGUCUUGGGUCGACAGCAAUGGCGCUUUUCGGGAUAAGGUGGAUGGGAAGCCUUCACCGCCGUCUAAUAAAUCCUUUGGUGGAUGGGAAGAGCUUGAUGGAUUCAGAUUCACAGAGCAGAACAGUAUACCUGCGUCUGCUAGGAAGGAAAGCCAACAGCAGCCCAGGAGGAACAGAGUAACUACUGUCAAUGGGAAGCCAAGCGAUUUGAGAAUGAAUGACAGCAGUGAAACGCCACUGAUUCUGCGAUUGUUAAUUGCUGUUUUCCCAUUUUUGGCUUCCUGGACCAAAAUGUUUUAGUUAGUAGGAGAUUUUGUUCACAAUUCCAAACCAUUGAUUUUUGCCAGAGACAGAAUACAUAUUUUCAUUUGCACACAAGAGUGUGCAAUCGCAGAGUUGCUGCUAUGUUUUGAUACAGAUGAAAAGAAUUGAGGCUGUCCAGCCAUGGACCAAGUGUGUGUUUACAUCGCGGGUAGCUGGCCGUUACGGUUGUUGCAAGAUGCAGGGUCUUGGAGGCAGAUGCAGAGACCAUCAUCGCCAUCAGCCGGAAAUGAGUUGGGCAGUGGAUGAUCAGGAAUUACCCCAACCUACAGAGUCCAACAACCAGGAUCAACAGUAGAAUCGACAGGAAGUCUAAAGUUCGACGUAGGACUGAUCAAUCAAUAUGAAGAAAUUGACCUUAUCAAUGUCAAUGUGAGCAGGUGUCUGGUAACGAGCAAUUGUAACAACCAAACCCGAUCCAUCAGAUAGCUGAAAAACAGACUGAAUUUUGCUGCAACAAAUACCAAGGAUUCGGGAGCCAUUACGAAUAUAACAUUUUCCGAGGAAGAGUUGGAGCAUACUUGGUAGAAAGAGGAUAAUUAGGUUACCCUUUUCCAAACGUGGGCUCUCCAUACAACACAGCUCGUUUGUUGUCCUUCAAUGCACCUGCCAGUAUUUCACUUGCACUUGCAGUCCCUUUGUUUACCUAAUCCAUAUUCAGAAAGCACACGUUACUCAAACUGCUUAUUCAUCUGGAAAGGAGCAAUAUUCUAAAACUAUAUCAGCACAAGAACGCAUGUGCACCAGAACAGUUAAUGGGUCCGAUGUUACGAGUGCGCCAGUUCCAUCAGUGUCAUAUAUGUCUCGAACACCACGGCUGUCGCAAACAUAGACAAUCACGCCUUUGUCUAACCUAAAAAUAGUAACAACAGGUGAAACAAAUUCAGCCAACGAGAUGCAGAAAGCAUUAUCAGAUGAUUGAACCCAACGAGAGAAUGCCCUCCAGUUCAUUAACUUACCAAAUCUUGGCAAUUUCAAUUCCUUCUGGAAACAGUCCGCCACUGCAGCAAAUUCAAGAUUUUAGAGACAACGGAUGUAUACUACAGAGGACCAAGUUCAAAAAAGCUAAUCACCUAUUAUUUCGAAGGUCUAAAACAAAAGUAUUCACGCCAUCACUCUUAAAACUAUUCACAGCUUUCUUCACAGCGCCUGCAAGGACAUAAAUAUAUUGCAUAGCCGAGCAAAAAUAGGAAAAAACAGUAUAUAGUGACUGCCAAUACCAGAAAGGGGAUUUUAUUCAACAGCCUUAUAUAUUGGAAAGACCUCAUACUCUAUGGACUGAACGCCAUUGGGCAAACAAAUUGAAGGCCUGCCUAACAUCAAUCUAAUUCCAAGUUCCACAUCACAAGACCAUUACACAGGUCGGCUCAAUUGAGCUAUUAUGUUUCAGCAUUAGCGUAACAAAAGCUACAGCAAGCUCCCUAGGGUGCUAAAGAAUGGAGCAUGAAUACUACUAAAAAAUGUAAAGAGAACUCGCAUUGAGUUUCUAUGUGACAAUAUGUUCCAGGUCUUAGAAAUUUAAAACCUUUCCUAAAUCAUCUGAAAACUACUUGUUCGACUGAUUAUUUUACUACCAACCUGCAGAAUUUUGGCUGAAUGAGCUCAGUUUGAUGUAUCCUAUCUUGGCCGGAUCUUUCCCAGAUCUAGGAAUUUCACAAAGUCUAGUCUUGACGGGAUUCAGAGACACCUUCUCUCGUCUGUUAAGCAUUAACCAGCUAGUUAGCUUAGCUAAAACAAUGAUGCUAGAAGAUGAAUAUUUGUGUUCAAGCAAGAGAAAGAAACUCACGUCAAAGCAAGAUGCUUUACUUCAGCACCACUGCGAAUAGUCACUUGAACUAAACUUCCUUCAGGACCCCUAAACCAGAGAAGAAGGGUAAUCAUGUAAUGGAAAAUGAAAAACAGAACGAUGAAAGUGGUUAACAAAUGUCCUGCCGGUAUCACUUCGAUUAGAAGUAGCCAGAGGAGCUGUAUGACGUAAUAAAAGAAGACUGAUAUUAGAUACUUACUGUAGACGGUCUGCUGCAUCAUAUAUACCCAUGUUUUCUGUGCUUUUAUCAUCUAUUUCCAUGAUUACAUCCCCAGACAAAAUGCCAGCCCUAUGUGCAGGACCUCCUGGAGAUGUUGAAAUGACAACCAGUCCUGCAGGUGACUCCUCAGAUCGACCUGGAUAGCCUAUUGAUAGCCCUACACCAGUAAGAGAACCUUCUGUUCCAGACUGCCUUCACAGAAACACUAACAAGUGCUUAAGAGAUGACCGAGUCAUUGCAAUUAAUCUGUUCCAAGCCACAACUCAUGUUUGUGCACAGAUAUCAUCUAUGCUAAAAUGCAAUACAUAAAACCAAUUCAAACUACCUCAUACCCUCAAGCUCCUCAACUUCUCAGGUUCUAGAAACCUAGUGAAAGGAUCAUCCAGUGAAGCAGCCAUCUUAUUUAUAGCAUCAUCUGUCGGCAGAAGAAAAGGAUAAGUCACUGCAACUUGUAGCAACUUAGACAUUAAAGAGAGAAUGUUGAGGUAAUCAUUUCAAUCACAUAAACUUGGAACAGAAAUCAUACACGUCUCCUCGCGAGUGUUCAUAGGCUCAUUGCGGAGUGCAUCUUCUCUGUAACGAAACCAACUCUGUCCAUUGAAAGUUUUGUCGACAUAAGAACGAUCAAUCAGUCUCCACGCCUCCAAGAAAAGUAGAUUCUCUUCGGUAAGCGCAUCUGCAGUACACGAAAAAAAUGUCAAUAAAUAACCAAACACCGUCGCGGACUCACAGCCUAUCAACAAUGUCGCCUCAGAGUUGGUCAAAUACUCACUCGACGGAGCAGAACUAACGCCAAAAGAUACAGAAGUAACCAUCAUUGCCGCAACUGCCAACUGGAAGAAGAACUUCGAGGCACGUUUCCCUAACUCCUCCGAGCAACUCGCCGCUCUAGAACCCCCGGCGAUAUGUUUCCUCGAUUUAAAUUCAUUGCAGUAGGAGUAGAGAGCCAAUCGGCUCCAAACGCUCCCGUUAGGAGUCCAAGCAGAGAGAAUCGACGAAUUGCGCCAGGAAACCAUCCGUAAUUCAGGCAAGGGCGGGCGUAGACGAGCAUCCACGACCAGUAGAGUCAGGGAUUUCCAUGGCGGCACCUGCAGCAAAAACGACAGCGUUCUCAGUUCCAGUUCAAGCCUAACGAACACCUACCAGAAGAAAGGCUGGCGUCGCCGGAGGGAAGAAAAGGACCUGACGGCGACCGGACGGGAAGGUAGGGCAGUGAACUGAGGGAGAAAUGAGGGAAGAUAUUGUGAAAACAGACAUGGCCGUCGAGCGGAGAGAUGCGAGAGCCCCCACUUGAGGAGGAAUUAUUGAGGAGGAAUCGAGGACGACAGUGAUUGCUACCUACCCACUUGUCUUCUCCUAAUUCUCACAUUACCUAUUCAACAUUUGAACUCUCACUGUUCCAGCCCUAAUGAUGAUAUUUAAACCCAAAACAUACAUCACAAAUCUACAUUAGAUAUCAUUAAUUUUAGUUUAUAGUUAUAUUAACUAUAGAGUUAAGUUAUAUUCAUGAAAUACCAUCAAAUUAUAAUUUAAUGUUUUUAGCUAUUAUUUUAUUAUUUUUUUAUCAAAAUGUUGAUGUGGUUCAAUACAGUCAGCAUUAAUUAACUUAUGGGUCAGCUGCCAACUUAUCGUUCAAAAAUUAGAGUUUGGCAAACUCCUUCAAUUAUUUUGGUAUCACUAUUCUUGAAUUGUAGAGGUUGGUGAUUAUUUAUAUAUUGACUAUACAUUUGGAUAGCUUUCUUCAAGUAGAAAAAUAUGAAAAUAUCUAAACUGUUAGUUUUGAUGAAAUGAUAAAUUGAUAGCUAACUCGUCUCCUAAAUGUUGAUUAUGUUGGGCCGCGUUAGCAUUCCAUAAAAAAAAUAACAAAACGAUAACUAAGGAAAUAAAAUUAUAAUUUGGUGAUAUUAAGCUAAAAUAAUUUAAUUCGGUAACUAGUAUCACAAACUUAAAUUUAGUAAUAUGAAUUGUAUUUAACUCUUACAUAAGCGUCGCAACACAGAUUUCUCUUUUUUUUUUGGUAAAAAGAGGUUGACUAAGUACAUUAGUUGAUCUUGAUCAUAGAAAUAUGGUGAGGAAAAAAUAAUUCCCACUAAAUUUGAAUGGAUACAAUCAAAUAUCUCACAAGGUGAAUCGAAAGAGGGUGAAAACUAAACGAGUGGUCCUAGUGGGCGAAAAGACCAGUCACUCGAUUUUUGUUUAUAAAAUAUAUGUGACACGUAUACAUUCUAGUUGUGUUGCAGGACCUAUCGAGCUUCCUGAAUAGAACAUCAACAAACACACACUUCAGUUGUGUUGCAGGACCUAUCGAGCUUUCUGAAUAGAAGAGUGACAAACACACACUCCAGUUGUGUAGGGUCAAAAUGCGCGAAGCUAAUUUCAUCAGACCAGUAGUGACCAUCCAUAAUCAAAUAACUCAAGCGUUCAACAAAUAAAGUAAAAAAUAUAAAAAGAAAGAGGAUAUUCUUGUCGUAAGCCGCGUUUAGAACAAAAAGAUUUCGUUAAGGUCCCAUUCCACAAAAUUUAAGUCGACACUAUAAAGGUGUAAGCCAUAAUAACCGAGAUGAGGUUCUCUGGGACAUGCCCUCGACGGAGCUUGUCUUCCGCAAAGUUCCACUCGAUCUGAUCAUAGACGUUGGCAAGGUCAAACAUGAUGGUGAAAAAAAUAUUUGUUACAAUGACAGAUCGAGGAUCGAAAUAUAUAUAGAGCGUAAUUUUAAUAAAAAAUCCGAGUAACCAAUUGGAAAAUGCAUUUUUAAAUAUAAUACUAAAUUAAAAUAUUAAAAAAAAACAAAUUUAGUGUAAUAUUUUUAAUUAAAAGAAACUGUUUUUGAAGAUUGGAUGUAUUGUAUUUAUUNNNNNNNNNNNNNNNNNNNNNNNNNNNNNNNNNNNNNNNNNNNNNNNNUAAAAUAAAUAUUUCUAGUGUUGAAGCUCAAAUAUAUUUAAAGUAUCGAAAUCUCCGUCAUAAAUAAAAUAGUGAGGCCCCUCUAUUAUGGUCAAAACAAGUUGCUGAAGAUGGAGUAGCGCACACCAUUUCCCCAACUGUAGCAGCACUCAUAAACACACAUAUAAUAUAAUUGCUUUAAAAGAGGAGUUUCUCCACUUUGCAUUGCCUGCCUUCUUAAUACUAAUUACACGGAAUUGCAUGAAUUAAAAUACAGAUGAUGCACUUAGCUUAUUGUCGGACUUUGAAUAUAACAUUUCUUGUUUAGCUGGAGACAGACAUGUGCCGCCGUGCACAUACGACACGAGUAGUGAAAUUCACGAUUCAAAUCUUAAGAUUUUAUGAUUUUAGUAGUGUUUUAACGAUUUUAGUACCCGAAUCGGUCGUUGAAUUUAAUUUCCAUGUUUGCUUAAGAUUAAUUGAUCAUGAAAGUUCAAAAAUAGGAUAUUCAUUCAUCUAAUAGAGACCCCUGCUCCUCAUACACCAUGACGAAAAUACAAACAACAACCAUGGAGGAACCAAUUCUAGCUAGUCCAAGCAUUCAUCAUCCCCUGAGCACCAAUCUGUCAAAUUCCACACCACCAAUCACAAUUCACAGCAACAAUUAUUUCCCCACUUCUAGACUCUAAAAAAGAAACAGACUUUACAUUCCGACCUCCUUUCACAGUUUCAUCAUAUGGAAAUUAAAAAUAAAGAUUGAUGAUUAACCCAAAUAGUACAAACUAAACUAAUUAAACACUUGUUCAACUCGUNNNNNNNNNNNNNNNNNNNNNNNNNNNNNNNNNNNNNNNNNNNNNNNNNNNNNNNNNNNNNNNNNNNNNNNNNNNNNNNNNNNNNNNNNACGCGCAGUUAUAAGUUAUCAACACAACCCCACAGUGCCGGGUCAAAUCCACCCCCGCCAGCUCAUCCUCCGCCGAUAUCCUAAGCAGCUUCAGCUUGUGCAGUAUGUAGAACAGCGGGCCCAUCGUCGCGCUCACCCACCCGAUUAUCACCAGUAUCUGAAUUACAUGCGCCGCCAGCAGCUUCCCUCCCCCGCCCAUGAACAGCCCGUACGGCCUGUUCGGGAUGCUCGGGUAAACCUCCGCCACAUACUUCUCCGUGGCGAACAGAGCCGUGAAUAUCACCCCCCACGUCCCGCACCCGCCGUGUAGCUGCGCCGCCUCCAGUGGGUCGUCGAAUUUCAUCUUCUCCGCCAGCUUGUUGCACCCCAUCAGCACCAACGACGCCACGAACCCGCAGAUCACCGCCGCCCACGGCUCCACCACCGAGCAACCCGCCGUUAUGGCCGCGAACCCGCCCAGCAAACCGUUGCAGACGUCGGUCACGUUCCAGUGACCGGACAGGAUCCUCUUCCCGAAUAGAGUAGUCAACGCCGCCGUGCACCCGGCCAAAGUAGUCGUCACUGCAGUCCUCCCAAUCGCGCUCCACUGUCCGUAGUAUGCCUCAGCGCCGGCAUACGGAGCAAGGAUUUUCGUGAACGACCCGGGAUUGAACCCGUACCACCCGAACCACAAUAAAAAUGUACCGAGAACAACAAGAGACGCACUGUGGCCUCGGAGCGCCACGGAUCGACCCGCCCCGCCGAACCGGCCAAUCCUGGGCCCCUCAAUCAAAGCCCCCCCCAGCCCGGCGAUUCCAACCACACUACGGGCCCGAACCGGCCAAUCCUGGGUCCCUCAAUCAAAGCCCCCCACAGUCCGGCGAUUCCACCGACCAUAUGGACCACACCAGACCCAGCGAAAUCGAUAACCCCAGACCCGAAAAGUAGAUCUGUGGAUUUCGUGGCGCUGGCCCAACCAUCGGGGGACCAGAACCAGUGAGAAACAACAGGGUAAACGAACCCGGUUAAAAAGGAAGAGUAAAUCAAAUAGGCGACGAAUUGAGUACGCUCUGCAAUCGACCCGCUUGUGAUUCCGGCGGCGGCGAUUGCGAAGGCCCACUGGUAGAGGAAAUAGCUGUAGUCGAAGUUGAGGGAAGGGAAUGACUUGAGUGCGAAAUUGUGGCGGCCGAUGAAACCAUUGGAAGGGGUUCCGAAUGCGAAGGCGAAUCCGAACAUGUAAUAGAAGAGGCCACCAGCCGCAGCGUCAAGGACGUUGGUGAGCAUGAUAUUCAUGGUGUUCUUGGCGCGGACGGAGCCGGCGCAGAGCAUGGCGAAGCCGAGCUGCAUAGAGAAGACAAGGUAGGCGGAGAAGAGGAGGUAUGUGUUGUCGACGGCAAACUGAGUGGCUUGGAAGUUGUCGGAGGUGGUGUCGAAUCGGGAGCAGAUAAAGGAGGCGGCCGUGGCGGCGUUGGUGAUGUUUGGGCCGAAGAGCCGGGCUAGCUCGUCGGCCGAACAAGUCAUGGCGGCGGCCGGGGAGGAGAGAGAGAGAGAAAGUUUGGAGUGGAGAGGGAUUGCGGGAUUCUGAGAUUUGUUUGUUCGUCAAAAGAGGAGGCUAUGAAUGAUGAUAUUAAAUAAGAGGAAAAAUGAAGGGAUUUCUAGUUUUAAUAUGCUUAAGUUUCGUUGACAGACUCAUUUAACCACACUAAUUUCUAUUUAGUUUACAGAUAAAAAAAAAUUAAGUUUCUUUUACAGGCUGUUUAUGCUAUAUUUAAUAUUACACUAAAAUUGCAGGUUCAAUGUCUCUAAUUUUCAAUAUGGUAACUAUUUUAAUAUUUUACUAUAAUGUUUAUUUGACAUUUAUUUUCAAUUCAUUCUUUGAAUAUUAUUUCUUUAGCUACCCGUAAUAUAUUAAACUAACAGAUAAUUAAUGGGAGAUUGGUUAUAUUUGCCCCGAUCUCUUUUCCACUAUAAAUUUUAUUAGUAUGUUCUUCAUAGAAACAACUAAUUUCCCUGCUAAAAGAAGCUAAUUGCCAGUUGGCUUAACAAAUAAAACACAUGGAAGCCAGAAGAUUCCGAUUUCCGGAAUCUUUGCUAAUUAUUCGUGUUUCGUUGAUGGAAUCAGUGAAUCUCAAUACUUUUCCCUAUCUACUUACAUAUUCGUCUGUAUAAAAGUCAAAAAGUUUUAUUUCUACUAAUUAAGGAGCCAUCAUUUGAUGAAUGUCACGGGCAUUAACACUAUUUUUUUUGUGUCUAUCAUGGAAGUACAGAUUUAGAUUAACAUCUCAUUCGAAUUAAAUAUAGAUUUCAGUCUAUAACAUGAUGCUGCAAAUAAUUAAUAAAUAUCUAUAUAAAGUUUUCUGACGUUCGAAGAUCCGAUAAAUGCGACUGUUAAAUGUAUUGAUGGGACUGUGUGGAUUUCAAGACAUGUAAGAUGAACAAAAUGGUCGAAUACUAAACCGCACGCACAAACAUGGGCCGAGGACGUCAAAGUUGUUGUCAAGGGAGUAACGAGAGUGUGACCCUCAUUUUUUCCUAUUAAAAUUGCAGGUUUCAUCCAAAACACAACCAAACUAAUAAUGAUCCAGAGACUCUAUUGAUAACCUGAAAGUAUAUCGAAUCAAAGGAUUAACAAUAUGUCAAAGAGACCUGUGAAAUAAAACAACUACUUUGUGUACACUCAGGAUCGUCAGCAUUACCACUUUGAAAAGUAAAAGGCAGAUAUAAAAAAAAAAGUAGCUUUCCAAAUGACAUGGUUUUUCGUGGGUUCAAAUUGGAAGAAACAAACACGACUUUGACUUGGUCAAAGUCGUCUUUUAAUUUUGUAUAUUCAUUCAGUUAGAGGUGGAAGUGCGGUGACCAUUCAUAUUUAAUCAACCAACGUCCAAUGAAUAUGAUGAUAAAGAGUCGUCGCCCCAUAUCAUACUCUUCCACCCAUAACCAUUACUCACCCAACGGUUAGUUGAAUGUGAAAUGGAAUCAAUCAACCCAACCGAAACAGUUGACUGGCUAUAAAGUCAACCCAAACAACUUACAUCACCCAGAUUAACUUACGGCUGAUGAAUCAUUAUAAUCAUUUUCAUUAAAUGUUCUAGAUUCUCACCGGAACAUGACGCCAUAGCUACGUCGCUUACGUUACAAAUUUCUUUGACCCCCAGGCAGGCCAAUCUGUGCUUACUGUAACUGUGCUGUGUACUGAAAAUUCAAACCCAAGAAUUGUGAAAGCCCUCUUUAAUGGGGACGGUAGACCAGUCUUCAGUCUUCACGCCCAGAUGAAAUCCUUCCUCAACUGUAAUGCGAACAACCUGGAUGCUGGACCAUUUCAGUUUCCUGCUUUUCAUCUUAUCUUUUAGUCAUUGCCCCCUUUUAGCUGCUUCUUUUCAUUCCUCCGCUGAUCUCGUUUACCUGAAACCCAUAUCAAUGUCUAUGGCUGCGACGUUUACAACUCCAAUCAUGAAAUCAAAACGCAAAAAUGGGUCGGAACAAAGUGCAUACGCUUCUUUUCUUCCUUCCUCUUUCUCCUUAAAUUCUCCAUGCUUUUCCGUCUCUCGCCCACCUCCUUCGUGUUCAUACGAACCUGCCCCCGGAUGAAACACAACAAUGUCAAUUGAUUUGAGUUGACUACGCUUGAACCAAUUGCAACAAAGGAUACAAAUUUGUCCAGAUGAACACACUUACUUCAUGACCGCCACUGCGGAGCGCUUGGAGCGGUUCUACGCAAUCCUGACCCAUCACAACCAUUUUCCUUCUCUUGUUGUCUCCCAUUCCACUUCUGCCUUCCCAUUUCUUCAAUUUGGUUUUGAAGGACGAGUGAAACGCCAGCCUGAUGUAUAUAUAAUGGAAGAUGCUUGCAGUAAGCAAUUAUCAGCCAGUAGUCACAAAAAACUAUCAAGGGCUCAAUCUAUUAGAUGCAGUAAGCAAUUACCCCGGCCAAAUACCGAUGUUGAGAAUGACUUGGGUUGCAAUGGACGUGAAAGUAGUGCAUUGAGUUCCUGUCAGAUAGAUUAAGAAACAGUUAGCACAAACAGAGUUGAUCCAAUUUUUUAGGCAGACCAAGACUUGAGUAAGAGAAGCAUUACCUGCUGCAGGGUUUUUAGCCGAGUUGAGGUAGCUUUCUUUUCUUUAUGAUGCUUCACUCUUUCAUCCUCACUGUCAUCCUCGUCUAUAACCAACUCAAUUGAUUCUGCGUUCCGCUCAAACCAGGAUUUUGUUGCCUUUUCCUACACAAAUGAAUGUCAAAUAAACAUCCCUUUCAAAGUCCAGAAGGGUAAACAUAUGAUGAAACACUAUUAAGCUAAUAGAUUAAGACCUGAGAUUCUUUCAGUGAAAUCUUGUCCAUUUGACGUGCUAGAGACAAUCGUUUCAUCACCUCAGGCAUGUAGGACUCGUCUAACGGAAAUCGUUGAAAGCUUUCCUGUUGAAAGAGUCAAAUGCUUAACUUAAUUGGAUAAGACACCAUCAGUAAGAUGAAGCUCUCGCGACUUGAGCUACUACUACCUUAGAAAAUGAUUUACAAAGUGAUGCACAUUUUGAGGUGUCCUUUGAUGAGACGAGAGCAAUACUGCAACCAUCAGCAGAAGCUCUUGCUGUCCUUCCACUUCUGUGAACGUAAACCUACACCAAGGCCACGAUAUACUGAACAAGAUGCAAAAAGGCAAAAGACAAAAGAAUUUAAGGGUAUUGAGAAAGAAAUUUCUAAUAUUUACUUCUGCUGAAUGAGGAAGCUGAUAAUGAAUAACAGUUCGAACACCAGGAAUAUCAAGCCCUCUUGCUGCAACAUCCGUGGCAAUAAGUAUGCCAUGUCCACUGGAACGAAAACGGUCAAUUGCCUGCAUUGAUUAAUGGACCAUGUAACAGGACAGUUGAAGUAAAAAACAGGGAAGAAGUUUACUAGGUUUUUAAACCAUCUCUAAUAUGUCUCUAAAGCAUACUGUAUUCCACUUUGAUUACAUAUCGAGUUGAUUUAACUAUGGGAAUUUGAACUUCAUCUUUCAGUAUGUUUUGUAAAUUUUAAAAGAGUGAUUAUAAAAUUUAUAAGAACAAGAAAACAUGGAUACCUUCAAACGAGCUCGUUGCUGCAUCUGAGCAUGAAGUGUCGUAACAUUGAUUCCAAGGAUUCGCAGAAGGGAAGAAAUAUGACGCAAUGCUGCAAUUGAAGUACAGAACACAAUAGUGCGGCCUUGUCCAUGUACACUCAAUAAAUAAUACAGAUAAGCAUCUUUAUCCUCUUCAGCGCACCUGCCCACCCAAACACAAUACAGAACAGAAGCAUUAUGCGACCUGAGGAUAUGAUAAAACUGGUAAAUACUGACAGGACCGGGCAUAAUAAACACAACUAGUCUACAAUCAAGUUUAACACUAUGGCACGAAGUACAAAAAUACAAACUAUUUGGUCAAACAGCUAUUGGUUAUGAAUUACAUACUCAAUAAAUGAUUCUGCAAGCUUGCUCGCCAUCACUGAUGCAUUUGUCAAAUCACAGAUCGGGGACGGGUACUACAUAAAAAUUUCUCGGUUUUGCGCAUUUUAUAAAAAAAUUGAUAUUUUACUGUUUCAGGGGUGUUUUCGUAUUUGAACUUUCGAAUUCGAACAUUAAAACGUUUCGUGAUAAAACGUAGGUGUUAUAUAGCAAUCCCGUAAAAUAAUCAUAUACAUUACAGAAUUAAAAUAAAAAGAUUGCUAAAAUUGAAUUGGUAUAAAAAAAUGGAAUAAAUCGCGAAGAAGGAUGAGAAGGAUUGGAGAGGUGUUGAAGAAUGGAAAGUCUCCAACCGUUGUUAGUUAAUCAAUCAACUGCCAUUUUGAGCUUCCUCCGUCAGACACAGUCGGUCGGUCUCUUUCCCGCCCGCACAAAAAAUCCACCCAAGUUCUUUAAAUAAUUGGACCGCACAAAAUUAUGCAAUCUCUUAUCUUCAAAUCGACCCUUUCUCUCUACCCCAAACGCUGUCCAUCCCCAAUUUCUCGUUUCGCUAUGUCCACCGCCACUCUCGCCGCCGGAGCUCGCAUCAGAGGCGUCGUCUUCGACAUGGACGGAACCCUAACGGUCCCUGCUAUUGAUUUCUCUGCAAUGUACAAAGCUGUUCUCGGGGAAGGCGAAUACCAGAGAAUCAGGGCAGAAAAUCCUUCCGGUAUCGACAUUCUUCACCACAUCGAGGAGUGGAGCCCCGACCGCCAAAAGAAGGCUUACGAGAUCAUCGUCGAUUACGAGCGCCAGGGGCUCGACCGCCUCCAAAUUCUGCCUGGUUAGUGUCUGGGUUGGGGGGUUUUGUCUUGGAUUGCGGAUUCUGUCGCUUUUAUUUCUCAAGCUUGAAGCAAUAUUGGCGGUUUUACUGUUAUGCAGGUGCUGUGGAGCUAUGUGGGUUUCUGGAUUCGAAGAAAAUCAGGUUUGGCUACUUAAUUGAAAGUUAUGCUGUCUUUGCUUACUUCGCUGAGAUGCCUGAGAAGUUAUGUCAUGAAAUGUUUCUUAGUUGUAAUUCUUCAGGAGGGGAUUAAUCACUCGUAACUUCAAGGAAGCGGUUGAUCUUUUUCAUUCUCGAUUUGGGGUAAGUUCCCUUGUCAAAUGUUGAAAUGGGCAUGGAAUGUAUAAGCUUCUGCGGAUAAUUUCUGUGUUCAUUUCGCUUAUCAUAUUGUAUUACAACAAGGCUAGAGUUUCAUAUCGUAGCUAUUGUGGAUGUUGCGAUAAACUUCAUUAGGACACUGCCGCCCCUACUGUUAGAGUUCUCAUCUUGUUGACAUGAACACAACCAUAUGAUGUAUCUGCCCGUUUUUUGGCUUAGAUUUAUUGAAUGGUGGGGCUUCUGGGAAAAAAAGCUAUAUUAGUAUUGAUCCAAUUUGCAAAAACAGUACUUGAUCUACGGGAAUCUCCUCAGUCUUUUGUGCUAUUGGUUUUUGCUGCAGAUGAGUUUUUCUCCAGCAUUGAGCAGGGAGUUCCGUCCUUAUAAACCCGAUCCAGCUCCUCUACUAAACAUCUGUUCAACAUGGGAUGUUCAGCCUGAUGAGGUCAUAAUGGUCGGUGACAGCCUUAAAGAUGAUGUGAGUGUAUCAUCUGCAUCCUCUAUUCCUCUUCUUUUUUGGUUAUGCACUUAAUGUUGGAAAGUAAGAGCAAACAUUUUGAUAUAUAUAUUAGAAUGCUUUCAAUUGAUGCUUGGCUAUAUUCAGUUUCCCUUCAUUUCCGAGGACUACAUAUGUGGCAUUCAGUUGUUGUGUCGGUUUACAUAUGUAUCUUUGACCAUUGGGAAGAUCGUUAACUCAUGCCAGGCCUAGUAUUAACAAGGGUCAUUGUGUGUGGUACGAUUUCAGGUGGGUUGUGGGAAGCGGGCUGGUGCAUUUACAUGUUUGCUUGACGAAAAAGAGAGGUAUAGUUCUGCUGAUUUUGCAGACUUGGAUCUCAAACCAGAUUUCAAAGUGUCAUCCUUAGUUGAAGUUCAGUCAGUGUUGGAGACGAAUUUCCACUUGCUGCCAUGAUUUGCCGACACUGGCAGGAUUGCUCAGAAUCAGAAAACUUAACAGCAACUUGGAUCUCUUUGGCCACAUAGAAUGAAUAAGCAGCUAUGGUCGGAAGAGAUUGCCUCUAAUUGCUAGAGAAUAGGAUCCGGUUAGUUAGGCAAGUAUAUGAAUUCAAUAAAUGCAUAACGUUCCAGUAUGCAGUAUAUUAAAUCCUCCUCUUGGAUAGACUGGGAUUUCAAUGGCAUAAGAAGCCCUUUGUCUGCCUUCAUUUACAAAUAAAGAGUGUUUUGGUAUAAAAUGUACGAUGCAGUUGGUCCAUUGGUGAGUGAGGGGAAUAUUUGCGCUGUAAAUCUGGAAUGGAAUAUCGCUGAUCCACUGUCGACGAUGAAAGUUGAGCAGGAAAUGUGAGGGUUGGGAAAAACAUAAAUCGCCCACCGUGGGGCUCGAACCCACGACCACAAGGUUAAGAGCCUUGCGCUCUACCAACUGAGCUAGACGGGCUUUUUUGUUGCUACUUUCGUUACAGACUUUUUUAACAUAAUCAACUGAUUUCUAAAUUCUAACCCCAUGAGGUCCAUAUCGUGCCUAUCUUAGUGUUUCUGCAUCGUUCUGGCUGACCUCUGCUGAGAUGAGCUCGCGAUAUGUUUUUUUCGAUGGGGAUCCUCUCAAGUCUUGACUGUCUUUUUGGAGCUUUACCUUCGUGUCGGUCUUACUAUAUAGUUUUGAAGACAUGUGUCCAAGCUAAGGGUGCAUGACCUCAAAGAACUUCCCAAGGCAGUGUUUGUAUUACUCUAUCAUGCUUCAUCAUUUCGUUCGACUUACGUUACUUCUUGUUUGAAAUGAUGGCCAACUCUCCCAAACUUACAGAACAUCAAGCAGUCAUCUUCCAAACUCUUUCAACUUGAGAGUUAUAUAUGUGGCCAAUUUCUGCACAUCGUAGGUGGGAUUUCUCAGCCUCACGAUCAUAUGGCCAAAAUAUGUACUCUACAGUACGUACAUGAAUGGUCCCGCUAAAGGAGAGUACGUAGGGGAUCAUGUUACGUUUGAGCCUUCAAAAUCGACCAAUCCACCAUCUUUUAUUAACUCACUAAAACGAUAAUGGAUAUCUCUUGAACGAUAUCCAUUAUUGGUCUCGACAACAUGUAAUAUGAAGUGUGGGAUCUGGUCGAUCCCCCAAGUUAGUAAGAGAGAGGUGUCGUGUUGGGUGUAAGAUAUGUAGAUCUUUAACAAAACCUCUGAGAGAGUUCAAUCAACAAAACUAGCAGUUUCCAGAAGCCUAAAAGGCAGGUCCGAAGUUGCCGAUAUUUAAUUAAUUUAUUUGUCCUAUAAUAAUGUUUAAAUCAAUGACUACCGACGUGAGUCGUGACACAUGGCACCAUAUUAUCGAUCCACUAUAUUUUACCCCACCUGUUUUUCUGGCCCACUAGACACACGUCGUCGGCACUGGCGCACUGCCACUGCGGGAGGGAGAGUUAUUACUUACUGGUAAUUACCCAAACUCUCGUAGAAACUGGACCACUGGCUCAAUUGCAUAUGUACAUCACUGACUCAUCCGCCAUAGCAGAAUGGUCACUGAAACCUUUAAAAAUUAACAAGAUUUCAACGGUACUAAGGAGCAUACAUUGUUUUUCAGGUCAACUUAAGAGGUGAUUAACUGCAAAACUCGAAGUAAGGGAUCUUUAUCCCAAAUUUUAUUAAUUGUUGAAGUAAAAUGGAGGGUGAAGUGACACUAUAUUAAUAAUGGAUAUGAAUGUGUAUAUACUUGUUAAAUUAACAAUCUUCCUAAUUUAGAAAGUUAAUUACAGCUUCAUGUGGAGUCUGUAUCUCCGAUAAACAGUUUUGUCCGUUCGUCACGACAGUAUUUUGAAAUAAAUAUCGUCUCAAUUGUUAAAAUAAAAGUCACUUUUUAUAUUAAAAAAAUAUCCGGCUUAAAGUUUAUUAAUAAUAAGGUAGAGUGACCGAUGAGUUCCUUCUUCCAAAGUGUAGUGACCAUUUCUAAGGUCGACAGUCGACACAUACAAAUUUUAUUCGAAUCUUUUUCUAACACCGUCGGGCCCACCAGUUGGCCUCCUCGUGGUAUUUCUUGGUUGUUCUGUAAUUGGGUCCCUUCCUCCGGGAUUUACCGUGGACCCAUUAUGAAUACCGGCCGGCAAACUGCCAAAUUUCCUCAGACGAAGAAAAAAGCAGAGAGAGAGAGAGAGAGAGAGAGAGAGAGAGAGAGAGAGAGAGAGAGAGAGAGAGAGAGAGAGAGAGAGAGAGAGAGAGAGAGAGAGAGAGAGAGAGAGAGAGAGAGAGAGAGAGAGAGAGAGAGAGAGAGAGAGAGAGAGAGAGAGAGAGAGAGAGAGAGAGAGAGAGAGAGAGAGAGAGAGAGAGAGAGAGAGAGAGAGAGAGAGAGAGAGAGAGAGAGAGAGAGAGAGAGAGAGAGACGGGAUCGUCCGCGCUGGCAAGGAGGCUGGAGCUCUCUCUCUGUUUCUACAACCUUCCUCCCUCCGUAAACUUUGACCUGUUGUGGUUGUUGUUGUUGUUGCUGCUGCAACCUCAAUCUCAUUUAUUCCAAACCCUCCGCUCUACUCCAUUUCACAAAUUCGGUCUCUGCUUCCUUUCCUGUUCCUCCGCCGUUCUUCCUCCGUCUUGUUUUCAAGACUUCACCACCCAAAUCUCAACCAAAUCUGGGUUUCUCUCCUUCCACCCACCCACCAACCCAAGUGGGGGAGAAAAGUACCCUUCUUCUAAUCUUUCUUUCAGAUCCUCGACUUUUGGAGGUGGGGGUUUUGACAUCUCUUCUCCCACCCCCUUUUUCGUACACAUGAUUUGAGCUUUUACUGUACAAUCAUAAUCGUCAUGAUUCAAUUAUUGGUUCCAUCGAAGAAUCCCAUCAUAAGGAGGAACCCAGCAGCUGUUUACCCGUCUCGUCCUGUAAAGUUGCAAGCUUUAGGAUGGGAACGCCGAAUUGCUUGUGUUUACAAUGACCAGAAUCGUCGCACCACAUCAGAACAGCCUAGACUCAUUACCAGGGUCUAUUCCGAGCCCAUUGUGGUUAGCCCCGGUAGAGUUACCGGCCAUAACAAUGAGAAACGGAGGAGGAGCACCAAUGUUAAGGGUGAUGGUGGAGAGAAGAAGGCGCGGACGGCAGGAAGUGGUGGCUUCAGCGGCCAAUUGGGUUGGGAACAGAUGAUUAUGUUGUGUGGGUUUGGGUGUUGGAUGCAAGGAUUUAGAGGGUUCCCAUGGUUAGGUCUCAACUUCCACAUGGCUAACAAUCUCAACUUUCAUCCUUCUCUACUGCAGCUUGUCCAACAUUCUGCUAACCUUCCCAUGGUCGCCAAGCCUCUCUUUGGCCUUCUCUCCGAUGCUAUUUAUAUUGCUGGAGCUCACAGAAUACCCUACAUUCAAAUUGGAGGUUCGUUCUUUUUUUUUUUUUGUUCUCCUUUCCUUUCUUGUCUAAUACUUUCAGGCCUCAACUGAUUGAAAAUUUCCAAUACUGGUUGUUGUUCAGUUUGUCUACAGGUGUUAGCUUGGGGUUCCUUGGCAUUGUUUCCUCCUGCACAGAAAGCCCUUCCUAUACUCAUGGCAUGCAUCCUUCUAAGCAACGUUGGUGCUUCGGUCACUGAAGUUGCUACCGACGCUCUUUUUGCUGAGUAUGGGCAAAAAACCAGAAUAAGUGGACAGCAAUCCUACCGAUUGGCCUCCAAUCCUACGCAUUCAUGGCUUUAGCCAUUGGCGGAGUCCUAGGCAACUUACUUGGUGGCAUCUUCUUGCAAAAGACAGCCCCUAAAACCAUGUUUGUAGUGUUUGCAAUUUUGUUGUCUCUACAACUUGCUAGUUCAUCAGUUUCCAAAGAGGAAUCUCUCGGUCUGUCACAUCAACCUGACCCUGCUGUUGCUGGGAAAUCAUUAUGGAAGAGCAUUUCGUAUCAGAUAAGCAAUCUUAAGAUGGCAUUAAGCGAUGAUAGGAUUUCUCGUCCCUUGAUGUGGAUGGUGGCUUCCAUUGCCAUGGUUCCUGUUCUUUCAGGCUCGGUGUUCUGCUAUCAGACUCAAUGUUUAAAUCUGGACCCUUCAGUCAUUGGAUUGUCUAAGGUAAUUGGCCAGCUGAUGCUUCUUUCCAUGACCGUUCUCUUUGAUCGUUACUGGAAAGAACUUCCCAUGAGAAAACUGGUUGGCACUGUCCAGGUUGUGUAUGCUGCUUCACUUCUUCUAGACUUUGUCCUCGUGAGGCAGAUCAAUGUUAAGAUAGGGAUUCCCAAUGCGUUGUUUUCUCUUUGCUUCUCUGGUUUAGCUGAAACACUCGCGCAGUUUAAACUCCUGCCUUUCUCAGUUUUGCUGGCAAGUUUAUGCCCGGAAGGAUGUGAAGGAUCGCUGACUUCCUUCUUGGCUUCAGCUUUUGUUCUUUCAUCCAUCAUUAGUGGAUUUCUUGGUGUUGGAUUGGCAUCGCUGGUUGGAGUGACAUCGACUAACUACUUGCGUCUGCCUGUUGGGAUUUUGAUACAGUUUCUUCUAGCUUUAAUCCCUCUGGCAUACAUAUGCAAUGUACCCAUGUCAGAAUCUGUUGUCAAGAAGGAAAAAAGGAAAGGUGCAAGUAAAAGAGCCAGGAAAGCCAGAAGGAUUGGAAGAGUGAUGAUCAACUACAUUUGUGUUUAUCGGCGCGAAAGAGACCCUGGCUGGAAGCCUUGAACGAAUUCCCCCACAUUUGGAGAAGGUGAUGAUGAGAUUGCUCUGAAGAUAUUUGAGAGAAUGUUACAGUGAGAACUAUACAGCCUGAGUUGGAGUCCGGUUGUUUCAGAAACUACAAGCAUAAGUCAAUCCUGUUAAGGAAAGCUUUACAUGUUAAUGUGCAUCCUGGUUGAGGCUGGUUUCAUAUGCAUGUUGCGUUACGAGCUAUGGUUGCUGAAGGAAGCUCCGUUUUGCAGCUGUGCUUCAGAGUCUGGGAAAGUUCUCCCACUGUUUUUGUCAAUAACUAUGUCACUGUUGUAACUUUACUCCAGCAUCUCUAGAUUGUACUUCCACCGAUGGCCUUGUAGAAAAUUGUACGAAGAAAAAUGAUACCUGAGUGAAACUCUACGCAGACAAAUUCCGAGGAUGCUAAAGUAAAUAGUCGUCGAAAUCAUGAUAACAUGCCUACUUUCAUUCUCUACCGGUGUUCAUUUCUACUCGUGUUAGGAUGUGCAAUUAUCUUACUUGCUUGUUUCAUUUGUAUGGGUUCCUUGGUGGCAGGUUGAACGCUUAUCGUUCGGAGUACAUCAUUCCGUUAUAAUAUAAUAUACUAUCACACACAAAUGCCGAUAAUUGCUAUAAAAUAUCCCAGGACUGAAGUACACUUGAAGGAAAUGCAGCUAAACAUGGGAAAACUAAUUCAAACAUAAGGAAAGCUAAACACAUGAAGAAAGUGAAACCAGAUCAAACAUGGGAUCAAGACAUGUUAUUGUAUGGAACAGGUACGAGAUGCAGUGUGUAUUUUCUUCUGAGAGAUGUCCCAAAAGCUUCUGCCAUAUCAAAACUUUCUGGUUUCAUUUCAGCAGGAAGCUUCCAAUCAAAAUGGAAGAGCAAACUAGCGAGAGUAAGCUUAACGGUGGUCAUUCCAAACAACAUUCCAGGGCACAUCCUCCUUCCAGCACCGAAUGGAAUGAAAUGAAAAUUAGUUCCUUUGUAGUCUGUUGAGCAAUCUAUGAAUCUUUCAGGAAAGAAUUUCUCAGCAUCUGUCCAAUGAAGAGAAUCUCGAUUAAUCGCCCAAGCAUUGACAAUCACUCUAGUUUUGGUUGGGAUAUCAAAACCAUUGAGCACCACUUUCUCUCUAGUUUCUCUUGGAAGAAGUAAAGGAACGGGAGGGUGCAAUCUUAAAGUCUCAGCAAUAACCAUGUCCAAGUACUUUAAUUGAUCAAGGCCUGCUUCUUUGACAUUUCCGAUUUCAUUGAAGACUUUUCUAACCUCUUCUUGAGCUAUAGUCAACCAUUUCGGAUGUCUGAUCAUCUCUGACAAAGCCCAUUCUAUUGGUGUGGAUGAUGUCUCAAUACUCGCAAUGAACAUUUCCUGAAAAGAUUCAGAUGGAUAUGGCAGAUUGCUUGAGAGAAAAGAAAAAUAAGAAGGUUAUUUGGACAACUAAUUAAGUUUAUAUAAUAUAUAGACUUACCAAAGUGACUGCUUUUAGACGUCCAUUGUUAUAUGGACUCCGAGGUUGUGGUUUUCCUGAAGAUUCAGAAAGACAUCAACAAUAUCUUCAUUGACAUCAUCAUGAUCUUGAGUGCUAACUCUCAGCCUUCUUUCAGAUUUAUGUUCAUUGAUAAUCUGCUCAAGUAUCGAAUCUGAUGCUUUAUGCAUCCUCUCUAGCUUUGCUUUGAACCCACUCAGAUACGGAAGUAACUUGAGGGAUGGAUAGAGGUGAGAAAUUUUGAAACUUGAUGUAGCAUCCGAUAUGUUAUCCACAACCAACAUGAAAUCGCCGCCUAGCUCUUGUACUUUACCGAAUGCUGCCCUGGAUAUGAUACAACUAUUAAGCGUUGACAUCAUGGAAGUCAGAUUCACUGGCUUCCCAGCUUCUGCUUUCUGACAAAGAAGUUGAAUGAGGUUGGAUACUUCCUCUUCCCUAAUUCGACGGAAAGAAAGAACGCGUUUGGAGCUCAAUAGCUCUAGAACGCAUAUAUUGCGCAUUUGUCUCCAAUGCUCUCAAUAAGGCGCAAAGACUAUGUCUUUCUGCUGGUAAAAGAUGGUAUCCGUGGCCAAAAAGGACGGCCUUGAAGCAAAAGCUAAAUCGUGAGUUUUCAUCAACUGUUCAGCAGCUUCAGGUGAAGAAAUGAUGAUAUGAGCAAGUUCCCCGAUCUGCAUAUGCAUCACAUCUGGACCGUACUUAUGUGCCAAAUCUCUAAGUCGCCGAUGAGGUUGGUGGCCGACGAGCAGCUGGUGUAGAUUGCCUAGCAUUGGGAGCUUCCAUGGCCCUGGCGGAAGAUGAUUAAGGUUAGAAGGAUGACUGAUAAGGCAACAAGAAAAACUGGGAUAUCAUUAUUAUUGGGUUGUAGUGGGAACAAGGAUACCGAGUUUAACUUGUCCAUGCUUAAACUCAUUGGCAUACACAGAAUGGAACCAGUGAGGCUGAUCUCUCUCUCUAUAUAUAUAUUCACAUUCACAUAGGGUUAUGUAGAAUGACGCCUUGCAAUAGAAUGGAACCCCUGUCUGUAAUCCUUCAUUAAUACACAGAGCUGAACAACAGGGGAGUAAAUAACUCAAAAACAACAGCACAUCUCAAGGACAGAAACUAGCCGCCCACGCACUAUGCUCACAACCAUAUAAUAUUAAAUAGUUCAAAUUAAGCAAAUAGUUUAUUUUUUGGGAAAUAAACUUAAUAGUUUUCGAUAGAUAUAUGUAGUCUGUAUUUACUUCGCACGAUCUGUAUAGAGUGAUGAUUAUGUCCUUCACAAAACACUUAUUUACUACUAGAUUACUGUCCGCCCGUCGGUCGGGUGAGUUAAAAUACACUUGAUUUGCAGCCACACGUAUUAUGAUGAAUGCUUUAUUAUAAAAAAAACAUAUGAUGAAUGUUUUAUAAUUUCAAUCACUUUAGUUAGAAUUUGAUUUGAGUACUUCUAAUAUAUAUGGUAGAAUCCAAAAUAAAUAAAAGAUGAUUUUUACACUAACACUCUUUUAUUACAUCCAUCAAAGCUCAUGAUGAUAUAUGAAAUAAUUUUAUACAUUUUUGUUUUUCUAAUAGCAAAAUAAAAUUUAAUCCCAAUAAUAUUAUAAAUAAAAUAAAAGUAAAUUAGGAAUGAUAUGAAGAAAGAUUGAAAUAGUCUAAUAAUUAGUAUAUUCAUUAAAUUGACAUAUGCUCUUAUUAUUUAAAUUCAACAUAUAUGCUCUUAUUAUUUGACAUCAUGGAAGUUAGAUUCACUGGCUUCCCAUCUGCUGCUCUCCGAGAAAGAAUUUGAAUCAGGUUGGAUACUUCUUCUUCCCUAAUUUGACGGAAAGAAAGAAAGCGUUUGGUGCUCAAUUGCUACAAUAUGUAGAUCUUGCGCAUUUGUCUCCAAUGCUCUCCAUAAGGCGCAAAGGCGAUGUCCUUUUGCUUGUAAAAGAUGGUAUCUGUGGCCAGAAAAGAUGAUCGUGAAGCAAAAGCCAAGUCGUGAGUUUUCAUCACCUGUUAGCAGCUUCAGGUGAGGAAAUGAGCAUAUGCAUCACAUCAGGACCGUAUUUAUGUGCCAAAUCCUUAAGUCGCCGACGAGCUGGUGGAGAUUGCCUAGCAUUGGGAGCUUCCAUGGCCCUGGCGGAAGAUUUGAACCGGUAAAUUUGGAUUUAUUGCGGAAUAUUAUUAAAGUCGGGAGGAUUACUGAAAAUGCAACAAGGAAGAGUGAGAUAUUACUAUUGAGUAGUACUAGGAGGAAGGACGCCGAGUGCAACACGUCCAUGCUCAAACUCAUUGGCAUACAACAGAAUGGCUAGCUAUUGUUGGUACCCUUGACGCUGAUCUAUAUAUUCACAUUGGUUCGGGUUCCAGUAUUUUUUCUUUACUUUUCUGCAGAGUAAACUAUUGUCAGCACAUCUGUACAAACGUAAGACAUGUAAUCCUUAAUUUAUACCAAGAUUCCUCCAAUAUUCUUUUGAUAUUCCCAACCUCGUCACUGAACAUACACGAGAACUAGUAACUCAACAACAGCACAUCUCAAACUCAAGGACAGAAACUAUAUUUUUAAUGGCUUCCCACCUAGGCACCUACGACCUUAACAUUAUUGGUGCUUGUCCACUAGAUUAUUGUCGACUGGUUGGUGCUUGAACAUAAACAUUUAUUUUGAAUUAUUUACAAAUACAUAUGAUCAAUAUAGUCACAUUGCAGCAACCAUAUAAAUAUAUAAUAAUAACCAGUUCAAAUUAAGCUAAUAGUUUUCAAUUGGUAAAUAGACUAAAUAUAUAAUGUCUCUGGGUAGUUGUCAGAAACGAAAUAUUAACAUAUAGGUGAAAUAAAACUAUUUAGGCCUAUUUAUUUUUUGGUGUACGUAUAUCGGAUUGCAAUAAUUUCUAGGACUACUUACAAGAUCGUUUUCAGUAGAAAUAUCUUCAAUCAAACAUUUUGAACUUUAAGUAGUUUGCCCUUUUGAAAUUUCUCAUUUUUUUCCAAAUAGAAUUGCUUUGAUAGUAGAGUUGUGUAUUAGAGAUUCUAAAGUAUUGAGAUCAAAUUCAAUUAUAUUUCAUAUACAAGCAUCUACAUAGUAUUUAUAGCUUAUCCAAAUCGAAAGACUUAUUUCUUAACCAAUCUGAAAUCUAUCAUUUAAAAGAUAAAUUUAAUCUGACUCCAAAUGGAAUUUAAUAAUUAGUUAGUGAUUCUAAGCUACUUUCUGAGUGUUACACGAUUUCUACCAUUCACAUUAAGUAAAAUCUGAUAUUUUAUUUCUGAAAUAAAAAUUAACAUUAUGAGUAAGGUUUGAGAUGGAGAGUUACCGUGUAAGAGUCCGAAUUUUCCAUCUGGGCUCUACCCCAAGGAAUCUUCAAUGCCUCAAAGCAUAAGUAUAUGUGAAAUAAGCCAGGACUGUGAUAGAGUAGGGGUAAGCUAAUAGAAAAGGAAUCGGCCAACAAAGUAGUAUUGAGGUGUAACAACUUAAUUGCAAGUAAAACUUGGUAAAGGCCUGAAGACUAUUCUGCCUUAACAAUGUUGCUCAUUUUCUUUGAGCUACAGGGGUUGUUAUUUACAACAUGAAGUCAAACAGAGGUAAUUAUAGUAGACAAACCUUCGGUGGCAACGGGGAUGGCAAAAACCAUGAAUUCGAGUCUCGCAGUGGAUGUCAUUUGUUGAGAAAAUAGCAGUUCUCGAGAACCUCAAGCGCAGAACCAGACAUCUGCCACAAUUAGAUAAUGACUCUGAUCCGUGCAAAAUUUCAAUAUUGAUCAAGAGACCGGAAUUUAGAUAGAGCCAUUGAUCAAAUCUCAUGGUAGCCUAUGUAACAGCUUCCAGAGUUGGAGAAUCAGGAGCUUCUUUCAUCACCAUGAUAAGGCUUUUCAGCAUCUCAUGUAUUGGUUCUCUAGAGGGAUGAACCUUAUCAGCGACAAAGAAACUAUGGGUUCUGUUGUUGAGGCUUAUCCAACUGCAACCUGGAGUUUUCUGUAUUCCCCUUUCUUUCAUCCUUCUUCUUACGGCAGCAACAUCAUGCCAUCUUUUAGAAGAAGCAUGUAAAUUAGAAAGGGAUAUAUAAUUUGACGGGUUUUCAGGUUCCAAAUGUGCAAGGCACCUGUAUGCUAGAUCUUGCAUCUGGUAAUUUCCAUGCAUUGUGGAAGCACUGACAAGAGCUCCCCAGACGCUUGGACUAGGUUCUACUGGCAUUGCUUUGAUGAAGUCUAAUGCUUCACCAAGCUGGCCCGAUCUUCCCAACAUAUCCACCACACAAGCACAGACCUCAACUGUUGGCUUCAUCCCGUGCUUGUAUACAGCAGAAUGAUAGAGAUUAAGGCCCUCAUUUACCAAACCUGACCUCCCACAAGCAGAAAGAACGCCAACUACUGUUAUCGUAUCUGGUUUAGACCCUUGAUGAAGCAUAUGAUUAUAUACACAUAUGGCUUCCUCACCUUUCCCAUGUAAUCCGUAACCAGAAAUCAUCGAGCUCCAAGAGAUUGCAUCUUUAGUAAAAGAAACAUCUUCAAAGACUUGUCUUGCAUAAUUUAAGUUGCCACAUUUCGAGUACAUGUCAAUCAAAGCAUUUCCUAAAGCAACUUCAGAAUUCAAUCCUUUUCUGACUGAAUAUCCGUGAACUUGUCUCCCAAAAAGUGAACCAACUAGUGAGCUACAAGCUGGAAGAACACUCAAAAGCGUUACACUAUUAGGCUCUACUCUAUCUCGGAUCUGCAUUUGACGCAAGAGAUUUAGUGCUUCUUCAAACUUUUCAGUUAACAUAUAACCAUUAAUCAUUGCAGUCCAAGCAUGAACGCUUCUGUAUUUCAUUUGGUCAAACACCCUUCUCCCUACACCAACUCUAUUGCUCCUUGCAUACAUGUCAACUAAGCAACAAGCCAGAUGAAGAUCCGAGCCCAUUGCAUUACCCAAUUCAUUCCUUAAUAUAUAGCCAUGAAGUUCUCUUCCAUAAUCCAGGCUGUAGGUAACAUCAUAGCACAAAGGCAGAAGACUAGACACUGUAAAUGCAUCAGGCUUCAACCCAUCAUUCUCCAUAUCUUUUACAAAUUUAGACAUCUCCUUCACAAAAGUACCAUCUCCUAAGCCUGCAUACCCAGAAAUAACCACAUUCCAAGAACCCACACUUCUUAGGGGCAUUUCAUCGAACACUUUCAAGCAUUCUCCAAACCACUUACAUUUGCUGUACAUCGACAUAAGAGAAUUAGCAACCACAGUAUCCCACAUAAACCCAGCUUUAAUAAUCUUCCCAUGAAUCAUUCUCCCGGAACUUAACUCCCCAUGUUCCCCAUAUGCUUUGGACAUCGUUGCCAGGGUAUAAGCAUCAGGGACCACAGAACCACGACACAUCACGCAAAACAAACCAAAAGACUGUUCAUAAGCUCGAUUUUUCACGUACCCGUUGAUAAGUGCGUUCCAGAUGAACUCGGUCCUGUCGAGGAGUGAAUCAAAAACGAGCUGCGACUCAUUUGGGAGGCCACAAUUGGCAUACGCAGAGAUGAGUUUAGUUGCCAAGAAAGGGUUUUGUGUGAGCCCUAGAGAGGAAAUCCGAUGAUGACACUGUCGAAUCAAGUGAAGGGAUUUAAGACGAUUAGCAGAGUCAAGUAAAUUCAGAAGCACUUGCGACGGGAAGAGGCUGUCGUCGGCGGAAUGGUAAGAGCGACUUGUGAAACGAAUGGUACAGCUCUUCAGCGGCCGGAAGAAGUUCAUAUCGAACGAAAUGGUGAUUUGAAUUUGGCGGGUGGACUGGAGUCGGAACGUUUCAACUACAAUCAUUGGUUAAAUGAGCCAUAUUAUUUUCAGGCCUAUCGACCAUCUACUUACACUUCAACCGAAUUUGUUGGGCUUUUAUAUUUUAGCCCAACUGCCGAAGCAUGUUUAUGAAGUGGUAUCAAUGGUAUGGUUCUAACUUUCUUUUUCACGUAAAUAUCAAUCUCAUAUAAUAUUAUGUGUUAUUGGUCAUAUAGAGUUUAACAUGUUGAAAAGUUAAGAAGGAGGAGUAUCACCGAUAAUUCGAAAUGUAUGAAAUAUAUAUUGUCUAACUAAUAUAUGAAUAACUUGAUUUCUUUUUUUACAAAUAAAAAAUUCAAACCUCUAAAUGAUUUUAUCAAAAUUUUAAAUAUACGAACCAUCUCCUCAUAUUCGGUGAUAUCAUCCUCAUUAUUGUUCAAUGAUGUGUCCAACAAUUGAGAACAUCAAAUUAUGCACACCAAGAUGAAUGGUCCAUCCGAUAGCCUCAAGUAGCACCAUUGGCUUCACUUUCCUUUGCCCCCGCCACACCUUCUCUACGUGCAUCAUGUACCGGACCAUUUUGCCGGCUUAGUUACACAAAAUUAUACCCAUCAUGUUUGUCCCUACUGAGCAAGUGUUGCACUUCAUGAAUCCUGCCGGUGGUGGGUGCCAAAGGCCAUGAUAGACCACCAAAUUGUAACAGACCUAACUCAUAUGAUCAACCUCAUCGUUCAAUUCGCCCGCGUAAGCCCAAUUCAAGAUUUAAUUGGUAUUCAACUAAUUAUAGAAGAUAUCUAUUUAUGAAUAGAAGCCUAUGUGGAGUUGUUCUUAUUAUAAGACAUGGAAACGAUCUAAGGUUUGGGAACACUUUGGAGAUAAAUUGAAGGAAAUAACAUGAUAAAAUUAGUAGUCAAGAUGAGAUAUGAGAUUUAUGUGGUUCGAUUAAAUAGACUACUUUACGAGGUUGUUGAACUCUUAUUACGUUGGAGGUUUUUAUAUUUUCGGUUAUCUUGUACAAAGAAGAGAACACCUAUUUAUAAGCUUACAUAGAUUGACUGUAUACUACAAGAAAUACUAAUACUAGUUGCAAUAAGAUUAGUAUGUCUUUCCUUGUACAACAUGAUUUCGCACUAAUACUAGGAUUAUGAGACACCUUUCAACUGUUGUAGAGUUGUGUAUUGGCGUUCCGGAGAUCUCAUAUUCGAAUCCAACAACCCUACGAACUAAUAUUCAUAUAAACAUAUAAUAUUUAUUAAUUGUUUUCUAUCUUAUACUAACCAAAANNNNNNNNNNNNNNNNGGAUGUUAACAUGUUUGUGAAUUAACAAACUUGCUAAUUUAGCAAGUCAAUUAGCAAUGCUAUAUAAAUAAAUUACUAUAUUUUUUAAGGAAUGCAUUUAUGAAUAUAAAAUAAAUUAAAGAUAAAUAAAAUUUAAUUUUUUUAUUGGUUCAUUUUUAUUGUAUUUAUUUGUAAAAAUAAUGAAUAAAAAUUGAUAAUCAAUUAUUGGGAUAGAGGAGAUUAAAAUUUGCCGAAUAACUUAAUUAUUAAAGUUGUUGGUGUAGCGAUAAAAUUUCCGUUGCUAAUUAAUUUGACCUGAGAAAACUCGUCAGCAUUCGAUCGAUGGGUGAUAGCAACGUGAUCCUACCGAAGGAAUCGACUGGCAUACACACGCUCUAGAACACCAAUAAUAUAUAAGAAGAAGCAAGAAGAAGCCAUUGGACCAACUUAUUAGAAAGCCGGCCACUUUCGGGUCAAAAAGGUGUUCAAAAAGGCAAAACGAGCUAGGCAUGAAAUAAUAAUGGGGGAUGAAGAACGAAUCACAGCAAUUAUAAUAUUCAUCUUCAUCUUCCAACUGAGUUGCCUUCAAGCUGGCUUCAGAGUACCGAAAGGACUUGAGAAACCAGAAUAUAAUAAUAUGGCGAAGAUAAAGCUGACCGAAUGGAUAAAAGAGACCACUUAAGUUCAUCAAGGGUUCGUUUGUUCUGUUUGGAUUUGAAGGGGUUUGGAUAGUUAUUUCGUGAGGCCGAGUCAAGUGAGUGAUUUGGUCUGAAUAUUACUUUUGAAUAUGAAAAUAAAAUAAGAACCGAAAUCAAUUUUCGGUCUUCAAGUGAUUCGUGAGGUGAUUACAAAUCUCAUUUCAUGGACUAGAGAUUUGUCAAAUCUCAUGUGAUUUGAGUAGGAAAUGACUGAAUUGUUUUGUUGAGUUUAGAAAAUUGGAAUUAAUUAGAUUUAGUCUCUUCUAAUCUUCAAAACUCGACUAACACAAGAAAAGGUAUUUAUAAAAUCACUUACCUAUUGGAAAUCUCUCAUCUUUCAAAUAUGUUACUAUUUGAACACACAAUCAAACAACCCCUAAAUUGCAGGCCUCUCUCCCUUUGGUGGGUGGUGUGAUUAAUUGUACACAGAUACGUAAAUUAAGAUAAUGUCAGAGUAAAAGGGGACAGAAUUGGAUAUUAGUCGGUCGAUUUGGGUUUUAAUUAUUAAUAUUAUGUAUGUAAGGUCCCCAAAUCUAAUCAUUGUGAGUUUUAAGGAACUUUGAGGUCUUUCUACGGAUGGGACUUAAGUUGAUUAGUGGCUUCAUUAAUCUUUGCUUUCUAGAGAAACUUUGGUCAUCUCUUGUACCUUAACACUACUAUUUUAUUUUAGGGAACAUUCACUACUCAACCUAUUCGAAAAUUACGCGAUUUGGCACGUGAUUUCAUAAAUAUAUUAUAUGGCACCAUUUUUAAAUUUUAGUUAAUUCCGUCAAGUUCCAUUUGAUGAAAUAGACACUUAAAGCAAACGUGGAAAAUAAUCAUGGCAUAAAAUAGCUGAUAUGUCAAGUUGAAAUCGACACUGCCAACCAGUCCAAAUAGAUAAAGGCCGGUGCUACCUUAUGCGAAUAGAGGGAAUCCUGAAUUUGGGGGGAUCCUAAGAGUUAUUAGUACAAACCCUAACACCAUCUUCAUUCACAGGAACAAGACCAUCUGCCACUCCUAUGUUCGAAACCCAAAUAUGGAAAGCAACACCUCCAUCGACGUAAUCUGUAUAUACCCUUCUAGAUAUGGAAAUCAACCCCUCCAACGAGGAUUCUUUAUGUUUGGGGAAGAAUUUGAAGAGUUAGUGAUCUGCGGCGAUGUUGGAAGGACAAGACGAUGAAGAAUAGAUAGGUUUCGAUGGUCGAUGACGAAUAAUGGAGAAGAAAAUGGAGAAUAAAGAGGUAUGAGUUUAUGAGUUAUUAUAUAUUUUGGGAUAUUUAAAUUAAAAUUUUAAUAUAUUUUAUGAUUUGGAGUUUAUGUGAAAGACAUUUAGACAUCAAUAUUACUGGUGUUAAGUUUGACUGUUAAGUUAAUGGUCAAUAAAAAAUUCGGUGUUACAAAAUAUAUUUUCACAACAAUGUUUUAAAUCGUGUAUUUUUUGAAUAGGUUAGGUGUUUUUAGUGAUUUUUUUCCUUUAUUUUAUCUCUCAAUAUUGGGCAUUUUAAAUUUGUGAUGCUCACUCUGAUGCAUCGGGGUGCAAAUGCACCACUACGUGGUGCCUAUCUGUGUUACUAUGAGGUGAUGAUUGUAUAGCCACAUAAUACUAAUUAGAAAAUUAUGCAUUAAGUACCUAAAUUAAUGCUUAUAUACGUUUUAGUUCUUUUAUUUCUUGGAUAUAUUUUUGUUGAAUCUAUAAUCGGCAGAAGGGCCCACAUUUGGAAGAACUUAACCACAAAACCCAGCAAUUCUCAGAUCAAUUUUCCUCGGUGGUCAUCACUGCCCAUUACAACCCAUCUCCUCUGCAGUUGCUGCCGUCACGGCGGACAAUAUUUCCAAUCAAACCGUUAAGCUACAAACGUUCCGUCCGUUGAUGGUCUCCAACCUUGUCAGUUUCUCAAUCGUCGAGUCUUGACCUUGUGCUCACUGGUGUUCAAAAGCACUUUCUAUAUCCCUACAAUUUCCUUCCACGGAAUCCUGUUGGCCUCAACCUUGCCUCUACCAAUUUUCUUCACCAGGUGAGCACCGGAUGUUUACAACCAAUCGGAAGGUCUCCAGAGGGCUCGAUUGGCGCUCGGAGAUGUCAGAGUCAUUACUCCGUUGCAAACAGGCGAAAUUUUCAUCAUCGUCGCCCUCACCUCUUAUGUUGCUUUCGUGAACUUCACCCCAAGUUGAUAUUCAAGGGGUUGGAUAUGCUUGAUUAGUUAGAUUGUGGUGGCUUAGGAUUAUUUAUGGGUGAUUGGGAUAUGAAUUCGAUGGCUUUUUAUUGAUUUGUCAAAAUUAUGAUGAACAUGUAAACUAUAUAAACCUAAUGAUUAAAACAUACAUUUAAACUAAUUGGAGGACCAAAUAAAAAUUAAUCAUUAGAAUUCUUAGUCAUCGUCUCAUAGCAGUACAUAUAAACGCCACGUAUCGAGGUGCAAUGGUACACCCGGGUGCACCAGAGAAUUCACCUUAAUACAUAUAUUCAUCAUUUUAUAAGCAUACGUGUGAUCAAAUUGUAUAUUGUUGAAAAAAUUGACAGGGAACGCUCAACUAUGGUUUGGCUUAAAUACACUACAAGGCAGUCCACCAGGAGAUCGUCGACGGUAAGUUGUUGAUACUCGAUCAUUUAUUUGUGGCUUAAAUAAACCAUUUAAUAUCCUUACGAGGCGGUCGACUAGAAGACCGUCGAUGGUAAGCAGCGAGAAAGAAUUAAAUAAGCCAUUUAAUAUUCUUGGCAUUGGCAAGAGGAAGUCGAUUGGGAGACCGUCGAUGAAAGGCGGUCAUCCAAUCAAUAGGAAUAUAGGAAUGGACAUUGGGCCAAAACAGAUGAAAUGACCCAUUUUAAACUAAAAUUUAAUUAAUGUGUUUGAGUUGGCUCUAACAAAGUGAAUAAUUGUCAUAUUUUUAAUCAAUGUGAUAAUAAUCUAAUUUUUGUGUGUAAAUAAAUGCCCCCAACAACAACGUAACUUAGUGCAUAGAUAUUGUGCACUAAAUUGUUUGACACCAACUAGAGUACCCAAUAAUACUAAACAUUUGUUUCCUCGUCACUAUGCCAACUUUAUGACAUGCUCUUAAAAUUUCAUACCGUAGCCUACGUCUAUCGUAUGUUGGAGACAUGGCCACCUUCCCUUUAAGAGGUAAGGUGUGGGGAUGGGGUAUCACUUUGAUGGCACGAUAUAUCAAGAAUAAUAUCUCUUUGUGCAUCACAUGGAAGAGAUAUACAGUUUAAGAUAUAGACCAGGUAGAUGAGCUUCACUCGUCCGUCUUCAAACUUUGGCCAUGAUUUGCAUCCCAAUUCUUUGCUAAUUGUUUGUGUAAAGCGGAAGCAAGAAAUUUGUAAAAGUAAAUUUCAUUAGGGGGGAGAUACGAGUUGAUGAUUUGAUGAGAUCAUGCAUAUGGUGGCUACUGCCUCUCUCUAUGCUAAAGAUCACAUCGCUAAUCAAACAAAAUUUGAUGCAUUGCAUGCGAGAUAUUUGAUCAAUCUUAUUGUUAAAUAUAUAUAUUAGAGGUUAAUGAUCCAGCAUUAAUGUAAACGCAAACAAGCAAAAGAUAAGAGAUUACGGAUCAUAUUAAUUGUGGCACUUCAUUCUACUAAUAUAAUAAUAAUAAUAAUAAUAAUAAUGUGAUGAUAACAAUCCUACCCAACAUUUAAAUGUCUGUGACUGCAAGCAUUAAUCUAUAAUUAACUUGGCCUUGGUGAAAUUAUGAGUCAGCACUACUCUUAAUUUGACUCCUUUGACUGAGUUGAGACCAGGUGCCCCUAAAUAAUUAAAUAAAACCAAUACACUGCCGUGUACGGUUAAUUUAUCGGGUAUCCACAUCGAAUCUAAUAAUAAUAUAACUGCAUCGAGAUCUAAUAAAAUCAUAUUCACUAGACGAUACCUAGUGAGUUGAGCAUCAUAAUCAAAAGCUUGUUUAAACUCCUUAAUAGCGUGUUUGAAUUUGAAAAUUUGAANNNNNNNNNNNNNNNNNNNNNNUGAAAUGUAAGUAAUUGAAAUAUAUGAAAAUUUUUGGCGCACUGAAAAAAAUUUUGACAAAUUUUUGAUGACCGGUAAAAUGCCAAAUUUUUUUUUUCUAAACUCUUAGUCCAGCGUCGAAAGUUGUUCUCAAGAUUGAAAGAGUGCCAUUCAUAGUUUAUAUUUGAAAUUACAAAGAAAUUAAGAUUAAAUAUAAAAUUGUAUUUAAUUUGAAAUCAAAUGCAAAACUCAAGUAUCAUUCAAAUACUAACAUUUGGUAUUUAAAAUACCAAAUGCAAAUUCCAAAUUCAAAUGCACUUAUCCAAACACACUCUUAUAUUAGAUAGUGCGAUUCCAAGGGUUGAAAAAAGUCCGAACUUCAAUAAUUUAGUAAAGCUAUUUUGUUAAACUAAAAGAUACAGUGCACCGUAUAGUGUAAAUUGCACGGUGUAGUAUACAAUCUGAUUUGGCGGAUGUCUAAAUCUGNNNNNNNNNNNNAUUUGGCGGAUGUCUAAAUCUGUUAUUUUAUAUCGAAAAAUAAUACGUAGAUAUAAGUUGGAAGAGCUAACAUACAUUUAAGCGAAAUCAUGACGACUACUUAAACAUAUUUUAAUAAUCAAGUAUGUUUAGGAUGAUCCUAAAGAAUGAAAUAAUUGAUGAUGAUUCAUACAAUCACGAAGGCUAGAAGCUGCGCAAAGGUUGGUGUGCUGUAAAAGGAACAAGUUUUGAUAUAUGCAAACUCCUGGUAUCAGAUAUUAUUAUUAUUUUUUUUAUAAAGGUGAUGCUAUAUGUAUAUUUAUAAAAAAAUAUUUUCAACAAAUUUUAUAUACAGCAAUAAGAAAAUAAAAAAAAUGAGAAACUUCAAAUAAAAGCAAACACCCAAAAGACGACCCAAAAAUCAUCAAAAUCUGUCGCAUAAAAAAUGAGAAAACUGCAGUAUCACCCAAUAACAAACUGCAGUGCACUAGAAGCCGAAAAGUGCACUAGAAGCCGAAAAGUGGGCAGCACAAUCAAAACCCUGAAGGUUGUAGCCACCCAGCACACCUGCAAAAGCAAUCUAAACUCUAACCAUUGUCGAAAACAAUACGAUGCCAAUCUAAAAUCAUCGUGCUUGACCAUCUGCCCCAAACAUGCAGCCAACUACUAACCAUACUACAAAUCUUGUACAAAAUUUGGAUCGGCGAUCUAAACUCCUCUCUAAAGAUACGAUGGUUCCGCUCCGUCCAAACACACCAGAACGUAGCAUGUAACAGCACCUUCAUGACACCCUUGAAAUUAAAAAUACAGUUCAUACCUUUCCACGCUAAUAAAAAACCGACCACAUCAUCAUGAAACGGUGCCGGUAAGGAAAGUAUUAUACCUUUUUAAUUACUAAGUGGUACGUACGACAGGCAUAGACGUGGGGGGGCAGGAUGCUGAUUCGUGUCCUAAGUCCUAACUAAUAAUCCAGACAAAUGAUUGAUUUGUAACCCCUUGAAAGCAUUGGAUUUGACAAACUAAUGUAGAUACGAGAUCACGGAACAACAUACAUAAUUGAAGUUUCAGGUGCCGGCGGAGAAACCAUUGUUUGUCUCAUUCAUCCUUCGCUUACUUCAACCAAGAGGCUGACCCCACUUAAAUCUUUGACCGUGAUAGGAAUCAUCUCCAACUUUUUUUUAUUUUACUUGGUUCGAGCAGGGCUAAGCGAGUAAGGAAGAGAGCCGGACAUGGGCCAAGGCUUCGGAUUGGGCCUGUUUGGCGAAAAGGUCUGCUUUGUCAUUCAUUGUUCUCGGAGUGUACUCGAGAAAAAGAUAGGGAUUGGAGGCAAGGUAGGUGGUAGCUCUUCCAAGGAAACCGUAGCAUGUGCAUGGCCAUUGGUGCUUGGGGUUGUGAGAGGCUCUAACAAGAUCAAGACAGUCUGAAAGGACCGUUGCCGGUCUGUGGAGGAGGGCUGCCAUAUCAAGGACAUGGACAUGGAAAAGGAACCAGCCUUCCCGUUCACGAAUUUUCCCUUGGAAUCGGAAAUUAUGAUUCCUGUAACCUGCCUUCCUGGAUUCCUUGGCGAAGGAACUAUCACAAUUGACUCUGCAAACGCAUAGUCUUGGCAGUGGGUUGACUAGCUGCAACGCAUCCAAUUGCCAUUGCUUAGCCAUCUCCACAACAGUUGCUGGUGUACUCGCCAUGGUGGGUUGAGGGAGGAUGGGGAGAGCGACGACGGUUGCUAAACAGGGAGGAAACGGCGGUGAUCAGCAUCGAAAAAAUUAGAGAGUUAUGAAAACCCUAGACUCCUCUUAAGAGGAGGAUUUCUUCCGCCUCGAUCCAGCGAAUUAACAACAUUUUUAUUGAUUUUUAAUUAUUAACAACUAAAGGUUUUUCAUAUGGUAACGGAUUCGAUUGAGAAAUUUUGGCCUGAUUAAUGAGUGGUUCGUUGAUGAAAAAUCGAAAUGGGAGUGAGCUAUACCUUCGAAGUGCCUUGUAGUCCACCUGGUAUUUUUAGCAAGGCGUGUGAGGGAAUUAGAAUAUCGCGUGUUAGAGGGUUUAAGCAAGUGAAUGAAUAAGAGUGGAAGACAUAAAAGUAUUAGGAUCGCUUGUAACCAUAUUAAAAUUUAAGAUAAGUGAGUUGACGAAAUCUAUUAACCUUAAACUAUUUAGGAUAUAUAAAUAGUAUCUCCUGUUAUAAAGAAAGAGUCAUUUCGUUAUAUAAUCUUUUUAUGAAAAAUACUGUUUUUUUUGGGUUGAAUAUAAUCCAUUCUGAAAACUUAUAGAAAGGUAUAUUUUUUGGUUUCUUGAAUUAUUGAAUACCUUUUUUCUCUUUUAUGUUUCUUUAAUUAGUGAACUUUUGGCUCCAAAAAUAUUCUAAAGGGGAUGAAUCAAAGCAUGUACAAACAUGGGGGGNGGAGAAAUUAUACAACACCUCCACUAAUUUACCCUUUCUAAAAAAACAUUAAAUUAGUGAUUUGGCUUUAUGCAGGAUGGACACCAGAACCCUACACCUGUCCCUAAAUAUGACGUCCCCUAACACCAUCAACGAGCCAUUGCUAGCUAGCUAGCUUCAUAUUUUAAAUUAAUCAUUACUAGAUAUGGAAUCCAACAAAGUUAAUUUCUACUUAAAAAAAUAAUUAACGGGAAAUCAGUAGUCUCUCCUUAACAAGUAAGCAAAAUUAAACACCUGGGCACAACCCAUUGGCCGCCAAAUAUUUAAAUCAAUUAAUCUAAAAUAAAUCCUCUUAAUUUGCCCCCCUUGUGCAUAGAUGCAAUAAGCUGUAGUACAUACGUGGCACUUUUCUUGUCUUCACUAUUGGCAUUGGGAAAUCAUUAUUAAAUGUGGAAUUUGAUCCUCAAAAGGACAUGUCACUCAAUUCCUUGACAAGUACAAGAAUAAAAAAAAGAACUAUUUUGGGUACUUCUCCAUUGUCCUUGGUAUGUUUAUCAUUAUGUGCAUGUGGAGCUCUCUCAUCAUCCUAUUUCUAGAAACCUUCCUUCACCCCCGUCCUGAAAUUCAUAGCCACCGUCGGAUUGAAGUUUAAAGUGGAAAAGAACAACAAACAUUUUAUCAUAUUCAUAUUAUCUUGUCAUCUUAUUGUUAAGAAGAGGACCAAUAAAGAUAUUAGUGCAAAAUUUAGGGAUGCAAAGAUAAAUUAGUGGGAAGAAAAGAAAAGAGAUGGGGAUGAUUUGAUAGUGACAGUAGAUCAUCUUUACAAAACGGAGGUGCGUUGCGUUAAUAAGUUUAAUGCCAGGGGGUGCUUCCUUGGGCAGUAUAAAUACGCAAGAAAGCAUUGUCCUUUGGGAUGCACAGAAUUUGGUGAAGUGAAUACCAAACCUUUCCCCUCACCAAACAUAUUAUCAAAGCUUCUUCUAACCAAAAAGAAAGAAAAAAAACCAGUUCCUUCUGGUAUAGCUAGUUUGAAGAAAAUGUCUUGGGGAGUGAUGUCGGGAGAUUUGGGGUGGGGAUCGAGUGUGGUUGUUGAAGAAGUUGGCUGGCGGAAGGGUCCCUGGACUGCUGAAGAGGACAAGUUGCUUAUCGACUAUGUCAAGUUGCAUGGCGAAGGCCGCUGGAACUCUGUUUCUAGGCUUGCUGGUAACUAGCUAGUUACUUAACUAUAUAUUCUUGAUUAUUGAUUAUCAUCACACAUGUACAUGUACAUGUCUGUUAAUUCUAAGGUGAAAUCGUUUAUUUAUGAAGCAGGACUGAAGAGGAAUGGGAAGAGUUGCAGAUUGAGGUGGGUUAACUACUUGAGGCCUGACCUCAAGAGAGGCCAAAUCACUCCCCAGGAAGAGACCAUUAUCCUUGAGUUGCAUGCCAGAUGGGGCAACAGGUAAUCUUAAUUAUAUUAUUAAAUUGGUUGUAUCAAUGACUUGAACAUUCUACAGAUUAUAUAAUGAUUUAUAUUGAGGAUAUUUAUUGAUGACACAACACUUUUUUGUUGUGAUGUUUUGCUUGGUCCAGGUGGUCCACGAUUGCGAGGAGCUUGCCAGGGAGAACAGACAACGAGAUAAAGAAUUACUGGAGAACCCAUUUCAAAAAAAAGACCAAACCUUCCCCUAGUGCGGCAGCAGCCGACACCUCAGACAAGGCCAGAAAUCGUCUUCUCAAAAGGCAGCACUUCCAUCAACAGCAGAAGGAACAGCAGCAGAUAAUGCAAGCACAACAGCAGUAUCAGCAUCAACAUCAACAUCAGCAGCUCCUGUGGCAACUCAACCAACUCGACAUCAAAAAGAUCAUGUCUCUACUCCUCGACGACAAUGAAUAUUCCUCCAAUAAUAAUAAUAAUCAAAAUAUGGCUCAGUUCAGCGGCAGGCGAGAAGUCGAUCCUACCCCCGCUGCCACGACAAAUACCGAGAAUAGUAUUUAUCCGAGCCAAGAGCAGCAUGGAGGGUACUAUGCCAACGGUAUUUACCCGUAUUCGCCGCCGUUUCUAAUGGCUCCGGCGGAGGCGAACCAAGAGAUAUUAAGCACCCCGUGGAUCGACGGGCUGUGGAGCUUGGAGGAUCUGCAUGCUGCUGGAAGAGCAACUACUACUACUACUACCAGCAGCAUCUCAAAUUUAGUUGCACCCUUUUGCUGAAUUAAUCAUCUGCUUCUUUCAGAUUUCCAUAACGUAAGUUAUCGUCAAGCUGUCGGCGGUUAACUUUGAUUUAUAAAUAUCAUAAACCCAAAUCGAACCGGGUAGCAACUCCUAAACCUGGGAGCUCUCUCGAUUCAUUCGGUCUGUUAAAAAGAUUAUUGUGGUGUUCGGCUUAAUUACCACAUGCAACGGAUUACUGUGGUGUUCGAUCUGGUCAAAUUUGGCUUCUACUGCUUUUUUCCCCCAUUAAUUACAGUCCAGUAUGAUUGCGUACAGGUUACAUAUGAUGAUCUUGAUACUAGAUAUCAAUCGUUUUUAAAAUUACUGAGUGAUUAAAAACAGGGGUAACACCGUAACAAUAAUACAUCAGUGAUGACUAUAUUGUGUUAUUUGGUGUACAUCCACUUUCUUUUAUGGAUUUAAUUAAAUAUUGGGGGGGGCUUGUAUAGGCUUCUUUUCAUGUGUUCCCAUCCAUGCUUCCUCUGUUUCUUCCAACACAACCUCAACUAUCAACUACAUAGCAAAAGAUUGAUGAAUCUUACGUGACGUCUGCAUGACACUAUCUACUACCCGCUAUCAUUACAGAUCUUAAGAUUUGAUAAAAUCAUAUGAUGCUAAAUAUAUUUAACUUUAAAGUUUUAAUGAAAACUGAUACAUUAGUGCUGGUAUGGGCGUACCUAAUUCGAAGUCUGGUUUGAUCGAGUCAAGUCUGAAAGUUUGAAAACCCAAAUCUCUAUAUUGUAUAGAAUCAAGCUUAACUCGAUCCUAUAAUUAGUUCAUGCUUUCGGGUUCUCCAAAAUCCGAUUAACCAAAUCAGACUAAUUCUAAUUAAAACCUGACGCAAUUCUCACCCCUAAACCCAUCCCAGUCCCAUCAUCCUCAACAUAUACUAUUUUUAUCUAACAAAUUUACCCAAUAGAAAUAAAGUUUAAAGAAAAUUAAUGAAAUUCAAAAAGAACUAAAUUAGUAAAAAAAAAAAAAAAGCAGAGGAUGAUGAAAAGUAAUUAAAAGGCCGUGGUGCCUGGCUGCCUGCCUUUUUGGUCAUCUGGAGCUCAUCGAUCAUGUUUAUUUUGUCGUGAUCAAAAGCAUGCUCUCCAUUAAUGACGUCACCGGGAUCGACCACCCACUAAUCUCGCGAACAUCACUAUAUGCUUAAUUAGCAUUUUCAAAUUCCAACGACGAUAUUAUCCCCAAAUUUCGGAUUCGAUCCUACUGUGUUAUAUUAUAUACUUGUGUUGUAUUGAGAUUCUAUUUUGUGUCUUUGCCUUCCACUUUUUCUAUGUUAUUUUUUACGCAACAAAGUAUUGAGUCGGGUUGAAUAUUUUUCUAAAUACAAUUUAUAAAUGUUUAGAGCUGAAUUUGAGAAAAUUGUAAUUGAUCAAAAAUUGCCUUGAGCUCUGCCUCCCUCAGACAUCCCCUCUAAUCCUAAAUAAAAACUUUCAACCUUAAAAAUCAUAAUUUUAAGUAUAAAAUAUUGUAAAAUUUAGUAUAUAGGAUAAAGAUACCCAGAGUUAUUAAUAUUUUUGGUACCUUACCUAUUGAAAAGGUACAUUUUGGUACCUUACAAAUCAUUUAUAACCAAUUGGUACCUUACCUAUUAAAAUGUAAUGAGAUGGUACUUCCAUCCAAUUUCUGUCUACAUUCCGUUAAGUUCCGUUGAAAUCAUGCUUCCCCGAGAACCCUCGAGCGCAUAUGGUGUCAGGGUCUUGAUUUUCAGAGGAAGGGUGGUUGGAGAGAAGUGGCAGCAAUUGAUAACUCUCUAAAAUCAGAUCUGAACAAAUGGCGACGACUCUCCAAACUCCAAACUCCACACUUUGAAACCGUCUCCCAUGAUCGAUGUUCAUAGUUAGAUGUAUAUAUUGAUUCAUAGUUGGCAUUCUGAUGUCUUCGAAUCUGCAACGGAUCAAACUUCCCAGGUAAUGAUGUCUUCGAAUCAAACUUCGAUAAGAAGUUCAGCCAGCGCCACGUCAACAAGUUAACGGACUUAUGGACGAAAACUGGAUAUAAGUACCACGCCGUUACGUUUUAAUAGGGAAGGUACCAAUUGGUUACAAAUGAUAGGUAAAGUACCAAAAUAUACCCUUUCAAUAAAUUAAGUACCAAUAAUGUUAAUAAUACUCUAUACCCCCAGGAUAACAAAUCAUUUUCCAUAUAUAUUUAAAAGUGUUAAACCCCCCUCAAGCAAGAUUCACUGAUGAUCUCCAUUCUCCAAUAUCAUUAAUUAAUUUUUAAGAACUUUUUAAAGAAUGGAUAUGAUUGUUGAACUUGCACUAGUAUCUCCACUUAACGAAGCUCCUAUUUGACAAACUGGUCGAUAGAGAUUUCACUUUCAUCAUCUUUUUGUUGUAUUAUGGUAAACGAUUAUAUCAAUGACUACUUCUGUAGUUCUGUUUCUUGUCAUCGAAAUGGGCAAAGCCAAACAAAAAUAUCUCGGUGCAAUUGCGGUGUAAUUGAUGGUAAUAAUCCACUAAUUAACCCCCAUACUUUAUACCUCCACUCCACUUACUUCCUAGCACCCCCAUCCCUAGCAAGGUCCUUCAGUAAACAAAAAGAAAAGUUCAACAAAGAUUAUGAGUGUCCUCCCAUUACUUCCUCCCAGUAAUAUUUAAUUCAAAAUUCACCAUUCUUGAUUUGGUGAAGAUUGAGAUUAGUAAACAGUCUACUGGCAAGCCCAUUCUGGGCCCAAUUAGUUAGUUGAUUCUUAUUCCUAGUCUGAGUUUUGGGCUUCGAGUCUUCAACCAAUCGGCAAUAUCCAGAAUCCGCAGCGUUGGUUUGUUAUAAGAUCUGUGUCGGGCCGUAUUACUCAGCCCACAUCAGUUUGAGAACACCCGACUCGAUCCGUUCGAAUUACAAAACCCGCCGUUCCGGAUUCCAUCGCCUUCAACUUGAAGCGCCUCCUCUAUCAUUAGGUUAUAAAUCAUCAUCGUCUCUACAAUUUCUAGGGUUUCGAUCAACCUCCCUUUCCUCCUCCUGUCUGCCAAAAAGGUACAGUUAACGUUUCUCGAUCUCGUUUAUAUUUCUGUCGAUUGUUCCAUCACUGAGAUAACAAUUUUCCAAAGGUAUUUUCGAAAACCAACUCGAUGCGGAUUAUUUCUCCUUUGCUUGCAAUGCUUUCGUCCAUCCAUUAGGAAUUUUUGUGACGUUUAUAUUUUCCUUACCGGAAAAUUUAUAAGAGAAGGAAGGAUAGGUUGGUUGAUUGCUACCUUUCGAACGGCACUGCUCUUUCAAUUUGGUUGGGUUCAAAUAUGUCAACCUUGUUAGGUCUUCUAUAUGUUCAACUGUUGUUGUAGUUUUGGCUGUUGCUCUAGGGUUUUUCUUCUUUUGAGUUUUUUCUAUCUAUGCUCGUGGGCUACUUUUAUUCGUAGCAGUUUGUCGAAUAUGCUGCGCCCUUGUUUUGGACUCUCUUCUGUGUAGCUCUCUUGAUCCAAAUUUUGAGUCUUUAAUACGUUUCAGUUGCAAUCAGAUGAAGAAAAAGGAGCAGCAAAUCUCUGUCAGCGAAUCUAUGCCAGAGAUUGAUCUCAAGUCUCUAAUUCACAAGAAUUCUGAGUUCUUUGACAAGUUGGUAGAGCUCAUCCCAGCCAAGUUCUACUUAUCCAAGGACGAAGAAAAGCCAUGGUUCCAGGGCCUUAGUAAGGAUAAAAAGGCUGCAGCCAAGAAGCAAUCGAGGGAAAACAUCAAGAAGGCUAGGAGAGAUAGGCUAGACCCAAACAAGUCUAACGUAACCACCCUUGAUUUGUUAAAGCAAAACUUGGAGAAGGAGAAACAGAAAGCUGAUAGUGAUGAUGAUGAUGAGGAUGAUGAUGAUGACGAGGGGGAAGAAGAUGAAGAUGAUGAUGUGGAAACGAAGCGUGUGGUAUCUGGUAUGAAAGAUGAGGCUAGAUCAGCAACGUAUGAAGAUCUAAGGGAGAGGUACCAGAGGAAACUUAAAGAACUUAGAGGUGAAAGAAGUGCUGAUGAUAUGUCAAACAGAGCGAAGAAAAGAGAAGAGAGGAGUAAUAGGAGGGAUAUGUAUCAGAAGAAACGGAAGAGGGGGGACAAUGCUGCAACAAAGAGCGAGCCUGUAAGAAAUGUGGAGAAGGAUGCAGAAGAAGCAACCAAGGAACUGAGAUUUAGCCAUGUGAAGAUUGGGGAUGAAGAGGACAAUGGAAUGAAGAAGAAGAGGAAGUUGUCAAAGAUGAAGGAGCUUGAGAAAGCGAAAGAGCUGAAGGAAGCAAAGGCGUCGGACCCAGAGAAAGGAGCAAAGGAAUCAUGGAGAACAGCAGUAAUCAAAGCAGCUGGGGUGAAGGUACAUGAUGAUCCAGCGCUGUUGAAGCGGAGCAUUAAAAAGGAGAAGAAGCAGCAACAGAAGAAUGCAGAGAAGUGGAAGGAGAGAGUACAAAGCCAGAAUAAGAAGAAAUUUGAAAAACAGGAGAAGAGAUCACACAACAUAUCAGAGAGAGCUGAGCAGAAGAAGAUGAGGAAGAUUGCCAAGAGGGAGAAGAAGCUGAUGCGGCCUGGGUUUGAAGGUCGCCAAAAGGGCUACAUCAAUGAAACCACUUCAACCUGAAAAUCGCGUCUGUUGUAUUUUCACUCCAAAGGUUGUUUUUGUCUGUUUCCUUAGCAACUUACUCUCUGUUUCCUUGGCAGGAUAUGAACUAGGAAGUGGUAAAAAAAGAUAGGAUUAUGCUGUAGUUUACACUUUGAUUCUGCUAUUUUGUUGUUUGAUGCUACCAUAAAAAAUUUCUACUUAUUUCUUUUCAUCACAAGUUAUUGGCAGCGCGUUUGUUUGAUAUUUUAGGACGUGGAGUACAAUCACGGAGGUUGGUUUCGUCCUGUUUCAAAUCAAUGAGGUUGGCCGUCCUCUAGAUCUGUGGUCUCAUUGAUGCGAUCAACAGAUGUGUGCAAUGAGAAUUGAUUGUGAGCUGGAUAAUGAGGUUUCGACAACACUAGAUUUCAGGAGUGUGUGAUGUUAUCACGCUUAGCCAUUAGCCAUUAGUUGAUUUGUAGUACGUAUUUAUUUACUCGUCAAUAAUGUAGAAAAUUCGAAACAUUAUAUUUUGGAAGUCCGAGCCCUAUCCGAUCCUGUUGAUACGGGAUAAUUCAUGUUUAACUGACCCGAGUCGGGCUAAGCCAGACUGGAUUUUCCAUCACUAAUAACUGAAAUGCAUUGUUGAAGUAGAUUGUGUCUGCUUUAUAUAUAUAUAUACUGCAAAUACAUGUAUUACUCAAAACCGACAUAUGUAAAAUAUUGGGAAAGACCUUUAAUGAAUGAUAUAUAAAAAGUUAGUUGAUAUUUAAUUUGAUUUAUUAGAUGAUAAUCAUUAUUACCAAUACGGGUAUCUGGUCGAACCCGAUUUGGUCAAACAGGGUAAAACUCAAAUUGAUCAUGUAUUUUAAGGGUAUGGGAAAACUCGAGAAUCGUAAUGUACCGGUAAAUAUUUUUUUUGUAAUGAGAUGUUUUUACUAAUGAUUAAUUAUUUUCAUUUUUACAACUAUCGUGUAUGAAAUUAUCAAGUUUGAGUUAUAUAAUUUAAUUAUGAUCCAUUAGUGAUUUAUAUAGUUUAACCUUUGAAAAAUAUGAUAUAGUUUCUUGAUUUUUUACUUUUUUGAAGCUUUUUUUAUUACGGUUAUAUAGUGAAACCCACCUGAAAAUUGACGGGUAUCGGUAUAGUAUGAAAUUUGCCACCUGGAAUGUUAUAUAGGGCGGAUAUUGCUUGAACCCAAAACUACAACGGGUAUCAACUAUCUGAACCCGAACCUGAACUCGGUCAUUACCAAACUUUAAGAUACAACUAAGUGGGUCAAGUUCAAUUAGAAUGAGAAACCUUUUAAUGAAUAACAUAUAUUUGUUUAGUUAAUAUGUAAUUUGAUUGACUUUCGUGCUACAAAACAGAUUGCGCUAUUAUCCGACAUGGAACGAAAUGAGAGUGGAGAUAGCUAGGUAAAGAUGAGAACAAGUUCCAAUACUCAGAGGAGAAGUAUACCAACUCGAAUAUCAGGGUCCCAGAAUAAGAGAGGUCUUAGCUGAUUUUGUCGAGUCCGUUGUAUGAAAAUGUGACCUCCGAGCAACUUAUGGAUGCCCAUAAAAAGGGUUCACGUCGGUAAUAUAUGGUUGGACCAAACUGCCAAUACUGUCUUUGGUAUCACCCCGUAGCCUGGAUUGCCCCGAUGGAGAAGCAAACCGUCUCUGGUACCGCCCCGUAGCUUGGAUUGCAGCCGAUGGAGAAGCAACCCGUUGUUGCUACCACCCCGUAGCCUGGAUUGCCCCCGAUGGAGAAGCGAACGGUGGCUCCAUCAACAUGGUUCCAAAAAUUAAAAUCCGCCAACUUAAAAAUCCAUCCAUCCUUGCAUGAAAAAUCUAACACACACAGGUUCUCUAAAAAAUCCCAAGGGUUCGUUCUGAACUACAACCAUUUGGUACUUAAAUUAGGAAAUUUAUACGAAAACCACAGGCUGGUCUGUACGAAUCUACUGACCUUUAAAUCGCAAUUCUGUAUCGGGAUGAAUUGUACAACCGCUAGUCAAUAAACGACUUAAAGAGUACAAAAUCUUGAUUAAAUGCGACAAGGUACUACAAGCUAUGGCGCUUCAGACUUUCUUAAUUACUAGAUAGUAUGGCCGCACACUGCUGCGAAACAUAAAUUUGAUUAAAAUGAGAUAUUACACACCAAUGUUUUAGUAAUCAUAUAUACAUUUGAAGAUUUAAAGAGUUUAUAUGAAGUACAGAUUUAAAAGAUUCAUUAUAACAGGAAAUAUAAUUUUUACAAAACAAAAUAAACCAAGAUUUUUUAAUUACAGAAAGUGUACGGACAUCUGGAAAUCAUAAUUUUUGUUUUGAUGGACAAUGUUGUGCGUUCUUGUUUUGGUGUGUUGGCCAUCAUUUUCCAGCUAUCUAAAGAGUGGGCAAACGUUGUAAAGAAAUUCACGAGAAGGAAGAACACAUUACAAAGUAAUAAGAGAUAUACUUACUAUCUUUGUGACCUCAGGGUGCCCUGAAAAAUAAAUAUUUAACAUGAAAGAGAGUUACUUUGAUACCAAACUCAUUGCAUGCUGAUUGCUGAUGCUGUCACAACAUCCUCUUGAGCUUUGUAACGCUCCCAAGCAGCUAGUUGAAGCAGCUUGCAUCUUGCAUCUCGACCAUAAUUUUCAUAUCCCGCCAUAGUUUUCAUGUUUGUAUGUUCUUUUAAAUGAAUACCUCCUGAUGAUCGUUAUGAUUCUUGACGAUCUGCUCUUUGUACCACCAAGCAAUGGAUGGCAGUUUCCUGAUCAUUGCAUCCAGUGGGACUUACUAUGAUAGCCUGGAAAUAUUCGUUAAAGAAAACAAACCCACCCCGUCCUCUAUACGUUUAUGAUCAAAACUCGUUCCUAUUGAAAGAACUGCGCUCAGUCCCCAACAUUAGGGACCAAUAACCUUUGGCCACUUAUCUAGAUUCCAAUAACCUCAUUCCAGAUUGGAAGCUUGGGAGAGUAUAGCAUGGUAUGUCAUCUCCUGCUCUUGGAACAGAUCUAUCUGGAAAAGGUCACAACUCUUCCUGUAAUGAUAAAGUUACCAAGUAUUAAACUCUAGUUGUAGUCUUUUUAAAAUUGAAAGAAGCUGCAUAGUGGAUAUAGCCUUUGAAAAUUCCACAUACCACUUGACUGUUUGAUUAGGGGAAACUCCAGGAACUUCAAUGGUAUCCCCUGCAUCACCGUAUUGUGACAGAGUAAGUCCAUACACACAGUCCAUGCAUGUAAACACACAAAAACAGGAACAUCUCCAAACAUGAAAACACAAAAGAAUCAACAAAUAUAACCAAGCAGUGAGAAAAAGAAUCUUAUUGUUCAGUCAAUUGCAGCAGAAAGGAAAUGGAAUAGCAGAACAGAGAGUGACUAACUGGAAUUCUUAAUAUAUAUAUGCACUUUCAGUAUGACAUUCAUACUUGCAAUCAGUCACUAAUCUGUGAAGCUUCAAUAUACCUAUCUGGUUCCACACUUGUCCUGAAAUGAUACAAAGAGGCUACGGAAGAAGAAACCAAGCGAUACCCUUUUUCAGUAUUGAGAAAUUGUAAGUCUAUUCAAGAAUUGAAAGGUCUCCUUACCAAGGAUAAAGAGAAUAAGGUUGGACGGAUAAAGCAGACCAGAAGCUGGCACCUAAUCCUUGAUCGGAGCUCCGCCUCUGUAAAAUUGUUUGUCAAUAGGCUGAUCGGAAGCCCGGCCGACCUUCUUCGGCCUAGAAAGUUAGGGCAUCAGAAAUGUUUCAGCGGGAUGGUGAGUUGCGGCCGUAGGCACCAUAACCUUCAACUUGAACGUCCACUUCCAGUAUUGAUUAUGGCAGAGGAAAUCGACACGCUGCACAGCAAUCACGCAGACAUCAGGCGCACCAUAACCUUCAACUUGAACGUCCACUUCCAGUAUUGAUUAUGGCAGAGCAAAUCGACCCACUGCAAGGCUAUCACCCAACCAUCAGCAAUGGAGGCAACGGAAAAGAGGGGGCUUCCGCCGGCGCCGAAAGAGGUGGCCAUCGGCAGGGAUUGAAAUGAAUCAAAUAUUCCUAGAUGAGAUUGAAAUGGGACAUUUGGGAAGUUUGAUUUAAUGAUUAAAAACAUGGAAAAAGUAUGAAUGAUCGAGAUAGAACCAAACCAGAAGAAAGGAGCACUGGAGGGAGACUGCACCGUUCAAAAUGAAACUGAGUUGCAGCCCAACCGAGAUGCACUGUUCCUAAGCUACAGUCGCACCAUCUGGUUGGGCCCUAGCUUUUGAAGUCUUAAAAGAGAUGUUUUGUCCUCCUGCUGCGUUCAACAUCAGUAUCCUUCCCAGAUGUCGAGGCUUCUUCAGGUCACCAUCUUACGUGUUCUUUAAAUUUGUGACUAUUGCAACACCAUUUUUACAACAGCACUACGUAUAAUACAGUCAUCAACAAAGCUCGCGCUAACCGAUUAUUCAAUAAACACACAGUUGAUUGAAGAUAGAACAGAAAAUACAGCAAAUGCAAAUUCCAUUACAAGUCUGUGGCACUGGCAGAGCACCAUCCACACCUCCUACACAAUACUUAAAAACUACAAACCUCAAACAAUUACACAAAACCACAGAAAAGAAGAUCUAUUUCAUUUUUUUUCUUCUUAAACCCUUGCUCCAGUCAUGCCAACACCAGCAGUACCCUUGGGCAUCUCGGAACCAGCUCCUACGCCAUAGUCAGGGUCCCUAUACCCUGGACCGUACCUGCUGCUGAACAUCCCUGCGUGGAGCAGCAACACGUACAGCAGUUGCGUUAUCCCCAAUAUGAUUAUGAACGCCUCCAACACCCUCAGCCUCCAUCCUCUAUGCCCUCCUAUGUUUAUCUGCUUGCAAGCCAACCCAAAGGCUAACGCAGUCACCGCCCAAGCUAGGAUCGCAGUUGAAGCUGCGGCUGCUAGACUGUCGUUCCUCCAUGUCCUUAUGUGGUUCCCACCCACGAACUUCGAAACUAUCCCCAGCACUCCGGCUAGUGUUGCAAACGUCAGGAAGAACCCCGUUGCCCCAUUCCCUCCAAAACCUGUACGUUUUACACAAACGCAGCUUUAUGUAAUCAAUGUAGUAAAACAAAGCAGAGAGCUAAGUAACAAAACAGAGAGCUAGCAAGUGUACUUACUGGGAUGGUAAGUCUGGCCGUUGAUGUACCUAUUCAAGCACCAACUUGCGAAACCCAACACGAUUGCAUACAUUAUGAAGUUCAGGAACAGCAACGGUGCUGCCAAGUUCCUUCCAACUGUCGAUUGUGCCAUCUCCCCCCUCUUCUAAAGCAAGAUCAGUAACAGACGUGGACUAACGUGAUCAAGUAACAGAUUUUUGUAUUGUUAAGGAUUUGGUAAAGAGGGGAGGAUAAGGGAAUGAAGAUUUAUAUAGAGAAAUAGUUUAGCGAUGAAUGUGGAGGAAAGGGACACGUGGAAGCGAAACGAGGUUGCAUGGUUUGAGUUAUGGUUACAGGUGGUGAAACAGCUGUCGAGUUCUCGAGAGGGAACAUUUUGAGAAUCUCGAAGUUCAAUGAUGGGCUUUUUCUUCCCACUCCUUGCUGAACGGUGCAACAAACAACGCCUCCGCAUUUCCUUCUUUACUUGCUCUUGCCUUGUACUGCUUCAUCAUCAUCAUCAUCAUUAUAUGUCCUGUGUGUGUGAAUGAACUUAUCUCAUUUGGCUACUUGUGCUUCCCUUGGACUCCAUGAUGUUCUUCUGGAUUGUUCUCCAUGGACCCCAAAAAGGACUGAAAAUAAGAGAAGCAAGUAGUACAAAUUGGUAGUUUUGUGCAAAGUUUAUUUAUAUGAAUGAGAAGGAUUAGAUAUCCAAAUGGAGACGUUUUAGUAUUGAAAUUUUGUGUUGACGAUUCGAAGAUAUCGAUUUGUAUUUAAUAUAUUGUAUUUAUUGUAAUGUUUAUAGUCAAAAAAUCAAGUCCAACGAAAAAAAAUAAGAACCAGGUAGAACAAUAUUUGUUUGAUAUUUGGCAUCCACUAUGGUUAUAUAUGCAUUUCAUGUUAAGUUUCUCUUAAACGGGCCAUUUUGACCAAUUUUAUUUUUUUCUUGGAAGUUCUAUUUGAAUUUGAAGGUGUCCUGUCAAACAUGAAUGUCACAUUUAUCAUCAUAAAUGUGUGUGUUCUUCCGUGUAUCAUAGGCCUCAAACCCACCCCUCAAAGUCCUUAAUUCAUCAAUUGAAGGCAUAGACAUCCAAAUCAUUUCCAAGCGUUUCAUGACUAAAAAUGAGACUAGAUAAUGUUAAUCGUGUUUGCUCCAUGCAAAACUUAGAUAGGGCGUUUAUUGGGAUGAGAACAACUGGUCAUACCAUGUAGCUUACUGAUAUUGUCAAGUGGAUUAAAACCAUUAGUAGCAACUAGAGCCAUAAAAUUCUUGGUUUACUCGCAAAUGCAAGAUAUUUGCUAUCUAACUCAUCCACACCUUUCUCUGUUGCAUGAUUCCUCCAGGCUCAGAAUCAUUACGAUGUCUAUACAACUCAUCGACAUUUUUCUGUUACAUGUUAAACCAUACUUUUUUGUCAAAUUAGUACUACAAAAAAAUAGAUAGUUUAACAUUUGAAGACUAAUUGCAACCCCGUAACUGUUGUUAGGUUCUAUAUUUUAACAACGCUUUUUAAAAUAGAUUGAAGAACUGGAAGAAAAAGAUGGUGAAUUACUAAAUUUUCUAAAUUUUGAAGACAGAAGAAGAUGAUGAAUUUUCUAGAUUUUGAAGAAAGAAGAAGAUGGUGAAUUUUCUAAAAAUUGAAGAAAGAAAAUGAUGAUGAAGAAGAUGGUUAUGAUGGUGAUUGUAAGAAGGAAGAAGAUAGAAGAAGAAUGAAGAAGAGGACUAGAGAUGAAGAACGAAGAACGAAGAAUGAAAAAUGAAAAACAAACGAUAAACAAUGAAAAAUGCAAAAAUUCAAUUGGAUUUUCGCAAUUUUUUUAUUUUGAACAUAAUUGUUUGUUUUUCAUCAAAACUGGACUUAGGAACUUUACAAAGUUAAAGGUUGCCCUCUCGAACUAAGUCCAAAAUAAUGGACAUAGGUUUGUCACGAAUCGUGUGCGUGUCUUUGAUAUGGUAAUAACAACAACAUGGAAGCUGACUUUGUGAACUUUGAGUUAUUGUCAUUUAACAUAUUUUUUUCCUUUAUUCACUACACGGAAAAAUUUGAUGUCAUGUUGUUCAUUUGGGCCUCGAUUAACAUCAUUAGCUAUUAGGAAAAGAAAUUCUAUAAGUUAUAUUGUACUUGUUUAUUGAUAUCUCCCACAUUAAGAAAAUGAUAUUUAAUCACUCUAAAUGUAUCAUUAACUAAAUACUCAAAAUUAGUUGUAGUGUUGGGAAUGGGUUCUUCAAUCAUGACAAGCUUGUAUUAUAUAUGGAUGUUUUGGCUAAAAAUGCACCGUUUCAUUUAAUAUUGAGAUAGGGACUCUAGACCGGCCUGACUCAACCGACUCAAAUCUUUAUUCAACCAAAAUUGGUCAAGGAUUAUUCCAACAAUUGCCCUUUUGAUCCUUGCACCAUUUCUUUAUGUCUUGCCAUGUGAUGUUCUACUAGUGGAUCUCACGCUUUAUAGUCUACUUUCAUCAUUGACUCAUCUCUCAUGUCUCAACCAACUUUAUGGACAUGAAGGUAGUUCCUGCAAAAAUAAAACUUAUCAGUAGGAACUAUUUUUGUGUCAAAGUCUGCCGAAUUUUCUAUUCCAGCAACCUUAACAACUUUCAAAUGUUGCUUUUCCAUCUCAUUUCUUUUGAAAUGGAAUUUGACAUCAAUAUGUUUUGUUCUUUCAUGAUAGACUGGAUCCUUAUAAAGAUACAGGACACUCUGACUAUCCAUAUGAAGAACUGACACAUAAGUCUUGGAUUCAAUUUCUAACAAGAUACCUUUAAGCCAGAUUGCUUCCUUACAAGCCUUUGCAACAACAAUGUACUCUGAUUCUGUAAAAGACAAACAACAAUUGACUAUUGCUGAGAUUUUUAGGAAAUGUAAUUUCCAACCCAAGUGAACACAAAGCAAGUAGUCGAUUUCUUAGUAUCCACAUUACUAGCAAAAUCAGAGUUAACAAAUCCAACCAUAUCAUUUCUGGAGGAAUGUUCUAAAUAAUCCAAAUCCAGAUUCUUAGUUCCAUUUAAAUACCUAAGCGUGUGUUUCAUGGCAAGCCAGUGUUUUUCAUCUGGAUUUAAAGGAGUCAAAAGCUUCACUCUUAUCUCUCAGUAAUCUAAUCCAAACCUUUCUAGAGUAGUGAUCAAUUAGAGAGAGGAAAUAUCUCCUUCCUCCAACAGUCUCAAUUUGCUCUGGACUCCAAAGAUCCGAAUGAAUAAACGCCAUUUCUUGUAGUUUGACCUUAUGAAGAUCAGACGUUCCAGUGGGGAGUUUAGAGAGGUAUGAGCAGAUUCAAUGCUUCACGAACCAGACUCUAAUACCACAAUGACAAACUGUAUCACAAACCUUAACACUAGCAAUCGAUAAACGAUGAAUCAAAAACUGAAAGACGUAAGAGACGUAAGAUUUAUUCACGUUGUUCGGUUUCCCGACUCAGCUAAGUCUUAGUGGGGGAGACUCAUCCAAAAUCCACUAGUAUCGAUCACAAAGCAAGAGAAUAGUAUCACAGUACAACCAGAACUGUAAUACAAGCUUCUAAGUCUAACCAGAACAAUCAAUACUACACAAGAGAGAAAGAACCAUGUAAGAACAAUGUUCCCUGGGAUGGAGCAGCAACUGACGUUCCAAGCUCAUCGAUUGCACAGAAUCCAAAUCACCAGCAACCCUAGAAUAUUGAAGGUGACUCUCUCAAGUUCUCGAUGGAUGAUGCUCAGAUCAUCUCUUUAAUGCUGAAAACGCACCGCUUCAUUUAACGCUGAGACAGGGACUCUAGACCGGUCUGACCCAACCGACUCGAAUUUUUACUCAACCGGAAUUGGUUAAGGAUUAUUCCAACAUCAUUCGUGUUACAUCCUUCGCAUGUGGGUUGAAAUGAAUCUACUAACUUAAAAAGUCUAUUUUUUUCCUUUGUUUGAAAGGGCAAAGCAGCACUAGAAGUCACUCGUGACGCACCAUCACUGUCUCUCAUGGCGACUGCUCUCAUUCUACCAGUGAUACGGACGUUGGCAGAAAAGGAAAAAUGGGAAGUGGAUUCUUUCUUAGUGAGUUUGUUUCUUUCUUUUGAUUCUUCGAGGAUGAAAAGAGAAAAGAUUCAAAGAGUUCAAAAUGGUAUUAGGAGAGAAAUUGUGAGAGAAGAAGAGCUGAAGAAGUUUUGCUAUUUAUCUUUGGAAGUUCCAGGCAAAAAAAAGAUAACUUAAUCUUCUAGCUUUUUUCGCAUACACACGGGUUUAGUAUUUGAACUCACCGAGGAGACCGAUGAUGGAGUUGAAGAACAUAAGCAUAUCCAGAUUACGGUGGUGGUGACCACGAAAAGGGUCCUCCAGAUUAGUCAGAACUGGUUCAGAUUGUAACUUCGGGUGGCUCUCAACAGGGUUCGAAGUUCUUUGGUAAUGAAGGUCCUGUCCAAGAACUUUAUGGAGGGUCUUCUCGAUGAACGUAUAGAUGGGCCGGCUGGAGACCUAGUACGCUCCGGCGAGGUGGAUGACCAUUGCGACAUCGGUGAUGUCCAUUAUAUAUGAGUUUUUGGGUAUAUUAAUAAAAGCUUCCACGUCAUAUUUAAUUAUAGUGAUUAGAUGUGAAUUUUUUCGGUGUACUAAUAUAAGCUCCAACAUCAAAUUUAGGUUUUUUUUAUUGGUACAAGCUACGCCGUCAAAUAUGAUUAUAGUGAUCAGAUUUGGGUUUUUGGGUAUACUAGUAUAUACUGCGACGUCAUAUUUAGUUAUAGUGAUUAAAUCUGAGAUUUUUUAGUGUAUUAGUACAAGCUUUGAUAUCAGACUAGUUAUAGUCAUACAGAUGUGGUUCUUUUGUAUCCUAGUACAGUUUUUGACGUUAGAUAUAGUUAUAGUUAUCAGAUUUGGUGUUUUUUAUAUAUUGAGUGAACAUAGUUGAUAUAGUUAUAGUACAGUUAUAUAUAUAUAUAUAAAAUAAAAUAAAGGUGAGUGAAUAUAGUUGAUAUUAAAUUUUAUAUAUAUUAUUGAUUAUUAAUUUUGNNNNNNNNNNNNNNNNNNNNNNNNNNNNNNNNNNNNNNNNNNNNNNNNNNNNNNNNNNNNNNNNNNNNNNNNNNNNNNNNNNNNNNNNNNNNNNNNNNNNNNNNNNNNNNNNNNNNNNNNNNNNNNNNNNNNNNNNNNNNNNNNNNNNNNNNNNNNNNNNNNNNNNNNNNNNNNNNNNNNNNNNNNNNNNNNNNNNNNNNNNNNNNNNNNNNNNNNNNNNNNNNNNNNNNNNNNNNNNNNNNNNNNNNNNNNNNNNNNNNNNNNNNNNNNNNNNNNNNNNNNNNNNNNNNNNNNNNNNNNNNNNNNNNNNNNNNNNNNNNNNNNNNNNNNNNNNNNNNNNNNNNNNNNNNNNNNNNNNNNNNNNNNNNNNNNNNNNNNNNNNNNNNNNNNNNNNNNNNNNNNNNNNNNNNNNNNNNNNNNNNNNNNNNNNNNNNNNNNNNNNNNNNNNNNNNNNNNNNNNNNNNNNNNNNNNNNNNNNNNNNNNNNNNNNNNNNNNNNNNNNNNNNNNNNNNNNNNNNNNNNNNNNNNNNNNNNNNNNNNNNNNNNNNNNNNNNNNNNNNNNNNNNNNNNNNNNNNNNNNNNNNNNNNNNNNNNNNNNNNNNNNNNNNNNNNNNNNNNNNNNNNNNNNNNNNNNNNNNNNNNNNNNNNNNNNNNNNNNNCUCGGAAAUUAGAAAAAAAUACCGAACGGCUGAGAUUUAAUAUCAUAAUGAACAAAUGAGAUCAAAUUCUAAAAGUGGGAUUAUUCAAUAAGCAGAGAGUACCAAAAAAUUUUAUUUUAUUUUAUAACUAAUAGUCAAUAAUGGUAAAUCUGAAAAUGAAAGAAAUAAAAAAAUUAAUUGAAAUAAAAAUUAUGUAUUCAUUAAUUAUCUGAAUAUUUAAUAAAAAAAGAUUAAGAAUCAGAAUCAUCAUUUCAUUUUGAAAGGAUUUCCAUAAUCUCUUCUUAAAUUUGUAUCCUAAUUCUCCCCCUCUUAUCUUCUGUUUCUCCUUUUGUUUUGGUAGCUAUAAUUGGUUGAAUCGUGGGGAAGGUUAUGGACUUGUAUCCAAACGUCCACCGUUUGCAAUGGGACUCGGUGUGGCUCCUCCCCUCGACAGAGCUCGUGGGUAAGCAGGAUGUGGGUAUAAAAAAACCACGGGCCGUUCUUCAUGAUGAAACGAAUGUCCAAUGGGUGAGCAAACCCGAACAAGAAACGUCGGUCUUCCAGCACCGAGAUCCCUACCCCUUGAUCUAGUUGCCAUGUGUUUGGUAAACUGUGGCGCAUUUGGAGCAGGUUGAGCUCCUCCUUUGAUAAGAAGGUCCCAACCACGCAAUGCUCACAACUCCAUUUUAGCGACAGUGCGAUGAUGGUCGUGAAUUUCCACCACCGAGAUCAGUACUGCCGCUGCAACCGAAUCGAGAGCAGGGUCGACCACAGUCGCCUUUCCUUGGGGAUGCGUUGUUGUCGCUCCAGUUGUCCCCUGAGGAAGCCAGCACCACUGGUCGGGGUUGAGCGUCCCCACGAUUCCAGUCUUGGAAGCGAGACCUGACGAUCAUGAUUUAUCUUUUAACAAUAAGUAUUAUUUUCGUUCCUCUCUUCAUUUGAGUGAUGCAAAAGAAAAUAAAAAGAAAUUAUACUUUUUAACCAACAUAUUAAAAAUGACCUAUUAAUCUAAAAUUAAAAUAGAAAAUCAUAAGAAAAAGAGAAUGUGGACCACAUUUCACAUUCCACAUUCUCUCUUUCUUUUUAUGGUGGCUGAAUUAAUGAAAAUGAAUUGUAUCUGCUCAAUAACUUUAACUGUCCCUGUUUUUCAUUUUCUCAUACAUCUAAUACUCAAUUUUAAUUCUACCUUCAAUCCCUGUUUCUUCCCCUCCAAAUUUUGGAUUGGAUUUUCGAUCGUCUAACGAUCCUUAGUGUGUAAAAGCCAUACGAUAUAUGAGACUCUCGUAAGAAAAUUGAAGGAUGCGGAAAAGUUAACGAUGUCUUAAUGCUUUCCAUCCCGUCAUCUCCCACAUAACUACUAACUCGACUAAAAAAUCUGUUUUGUUUUUAUCAAUGUGUUGCAAUACCAAUAAUCAAUCAAAGAAGAUGUGAACCAUCAAUAAAAAUGAUGAUAAAAAAUUUAAUUACAUUUAAAAAAUAUCUAUGAAAUUUUAUUAAAAUAUUCGUAUCGAAUUUAUCAUGAACGAAUAUAGUAAACAAAACAUGGAUUUAGUUUUUCAUAACAGAAAAUUAUAAGACUGGCUAAAAUUAGGAUUGUAGCCCUUUCAAAUUUUUAGGAGGUCGUACUUUGAAAUGGACCGCUGUUUUUUAGCUUGAAAUAAUUCCCAGUUUUUUUACUUUCGAAUUGUGGACAACCUAACAGUUUAUCUACUCGAGGUGGCAGAAUUUACAAGGGAAAAACAGUAAUUGCAAAUAACAUUAACUUCACAUACUAUUUCAUUUCCCCAAACAUCUAAUGUAAAUUCCAAUUCUACCCUUAGUCCAUGUCUCUUCACUUCCAAUCGUUGGAUUAGAUUGGAUGACGACAGAGAAAUGGAAAAAUUAUAAUGCUUUAACAUUCCGUCAUCUCUCGCCGGUAACUACUAACUAGGCUAAAAGACUAUUUUAUCCUUGUCAAUGUAUUAGUUAGAUGUAUAUAAUAUUAGGUCAUCAGCAUUUCUUAACUCACAUUUCCUUUCGGCCGGAAGUUGGUGUUCGUCGUUCUCAAAUUACAUUUCUCAUCGGCGUUUCACAGUCGAUGAAAUAACUUUUUCUGGGAAAAUCACGAAAACCUGUCCCAGAAUCCGACUCCUUCUUUCCUCUUCUCCCCACACCCUUCUUUCGAGCUAAUUACUACUUUGUGUGCAGAAGCAUCCGUCGUCGGCGGUUAGAAAUGGGCGAGAUCGUCCCAUUCAUAGACCUCAACCUCUCUCCGACUCCGGCCGUUCCCAACGGCGGCACAAGCUCAGCUCCUGGUGGUGCUACCUCCCAACGGCGGCACCAGCUCAGCUCCUGGUGGUGCUACCGCAGCGACUCCAUCAUUUAUGAAGGUACCCAAAAUCGAACCAAAGCUGGAACCACUGGAGGAGAGCCCACUCGAAAUCCAGCAGCUCCUUCAAGAGCAACCGGACUCUUACUUCCAAGACUCAAUCCCUUUGAACUUCUACUCCGAUUCCCAAAGUACAACUCCAUCUCAAUCCGCCCUUGUCCCCGCCGCAGACAAUAAUGUCUAUUCCGAGUACUGCCGAAUCUCGGAGCUCUUCCGGACAGCUUUUGCCAAACGGGUAGAGGAGGAGCAACAGCAGCAGCAGCAGCAGCAGAAUCAACAGUACGGAGACGCCUCGGCUCCGGACCCAGACGCUCAAGCGAUUGUGCCCAUCAACACUGAUAACCAGGUGACUUCCACUCCGCCCCCCAAGGUUCAGCGGAAGUACCCGAAGCGAUCAUCGGAGCUUGUCCGGGUCACGGACCUUCAGAUUGAGGAUAAGAGGUAUUUCAGGGACCUGGUCCGGAGCACUCGUUUGGUGUUCGACUCGUUUCGAAUAUACGCUGUGGAGGCGGAAGCGAAGCGUCGAAACGCAUUGGCAGCCUUGUUCAGAAAGCCUCGUGGGGAUCUACUGGCUGCGUCCGUUAUGAGGGACCGUGAUCUUUGGAUCAAUCGUGAUAAGCGAAUUGUGGGUUCUAUUCCUGGUAUCGAGAUCGGAGAUGUCUUUUUCUUCAGGAUGGAAUUGUGUGUGCUUGGGGUUCAUGGCCAACCUCAGGCUGGAAUUGACUACCUCCCUGGGAGCCAAAGCUCAAAUGGGCAGCCAAUUGCUACGGGUAUUAUUGUUUCUGGUGGCUACGAGGACGAUGAGGACGCUGGAGAUGAGAUAACUUAUACUGGGCAUGGAGGCCAGGAUAAGUUUGGGAAGCAUUGUGUAAAUCAAAAGCUUGAAGGUGGGAACUUAGCGAUGGAGAGGAGCAUGCAUUAUGGAAUUGAAGUAAGGGUUGUUAGAGGGUUUAAGUAUGAAGGGAGUAUUAGUAGCAAGAUUUAUGUCUAUGAUGGUUUAUACAGGAUUUACCAGUACUGGUUUGAUAUAGGUAAAUCUGGUUUUGGUGUCUAUAAGUUUAAGCUGUCUAGGAUAGAAGGACAGGAGCAAAUGGGUAGUGCCAUCCUCAAACUUGCUGGGAGUUUGCGGACUAAGCCAUUGAGCGUGAGGCCAACUGGGUAUUUACGACUUGAUCUCUCAAAAGGAUUAGAACAUAUGCCUGUCAUGGUGUUCAACGAUAUUGAUAACUUUGGCGAUCCUGUUUAUCAUGACUAUCUUGCGAAGACUGUCUUUCCUCCUCACUUGUGUAACCCUGGAAGUAGUGGAACUGGUUGCGAAUGUGUUUCGGGUUGCGUGGAUGGCUGUUUUUGCGCAAUGAAGAAUGGUGGUGAGUUGGCUUAUGAUCAAUAUGGAUUCCUGAUAAGGGGAAAGCCCUUGAUAUUUGAAUGUGGACUCUUUUGUAAAUGUCCACCAAGUUGCCGUAACCGUGUAAGUCAGAGGGGAUUGAGAUACCGAAUGGAAAUCUUUAGGUCCAUGCAAACUGGUUGGGGAGUCAGGUCACUGGAUUUGAUACAUGCUGGUUCGUUUAUAUGCGAGUAUGCUGGUGUUGCGCUCACGAGAGAGCAAGCUGAGAUUUUUGCAAUGAAUGGUGAUACAUUGAUUUAUCCCAGUCGGUUUACAAGUAGAUGGGCAGAAUGGGGAGACUUAUCUCGGAUAUAUCCCGAUUAUGUGCGCCCAACAUAUCCCUCUCUUCCGCCUUUGGAUUUUGCAAUGGAUGUAUCUAGAAUGAGGAAUGUUGCUUGUUACAUGAGCCAUAGCACUGCUCCUAAUGCGAUGGUGCAGUUUGUACUGUAUGAUCAUAACAAUCUGAUGUUCCCCCACCUUAUGAUAUUUGCUAUUGAGAACAUUCCUCCUUUGCGGGAGAUAAGUCUCGACUAUGGGAUAGCAGAUGAUGCAACCGCUAAGCUUGCCAUUUGCAAUUGAAACUUGCAGCUGAUGUUCUAUGUGUUUAAGCAGCUACUUAUGCGGACGAGUCGUUCAGGUACACUAAUAUUUGCAAUUGAUUUCCCUAAUCUUUGCAAGUGAUAUGUUGUAACAACAAUGAGAGAACUGUCAGCUAGUGCCUGCUUUGUUGUUGUCCUUGUUUAGCAGUAUGAUCUGUUAGUCCUUCAUAUCACCAGAUAAUCCAUACAAGUUUGGAUUUUGACAGUGUUUCUUUGGCAUUGAGGACCAUCUUUUACUUUUUGCUUGACCAACUAUCUUAGUUUCUCUCUUUCUGAGUUAUGUAAAAACUUCUCUGUUCUAUAUGUGUUUGGUACAGUUUUAUUUUGUUGUCUAAAUGCUGCACAGGGUGAUACUUCAUCUAAUUUUUAGCUCUUCGUUUACGUUUUAAGCAUGUUGAUAUCUGAGUUGAAUUCACUGAAAUUUGGCAAAUUUUGUUCCUCGGUCAUUGAUUGACUAUGUACUUGCCCGGCUGGUUUGGCUUAAGGCUUCUAUUUCUUGAUAGAAGUAGGAAUUAAGUGUAUGUUUCUACAGCACUUUCUUUUAUUUCAUGAACAGUCUCCUCAGUAAGACUUCUACCAUAAAUAGGAGUCCUUAACAAGGUAGUUUCUUCCUAUACAAGAAACCAAUAUAAUUAAUAUAUCCUAAUAAUAUUAAGUCUACCUAAUUAGGAUUUAUUUUUACACUUCCUGUCAAGCUGAAUCGUAUAAAUGUUGAACAUGCCCAGCUUAUUUAUCAAUUCUUCAAAGGUAAACCUUCCUAGCGACUUGGUGAAGACGUUUGCCACUUGCUGAUUAGUUGGUACAUAAUCCAGACGGAUAACUCCACUUGUGAUCUUUUUUUAUAUAAAGUGUCGAUCCAGUUCAACAUGCUUAAUUCUGUCAUGGUGAACUGGGUUACGAACGAUGCUGAUGGCAGAUUUGCUAUCACACAGUACUUGUAUAGGAGUUGGAGGAAGCAUUUUCAACUCAUUGAGAAUACGUUGUAGCCAAAUUCCUUCUUUAAUUCCAGCUGUCAAACCACGAUACUCAGCUUCAACACUGUUGAGUGACACCACAUCUUGUUUCUUACUUCUCUAUGUUAUAAGAAUCCCUCGUACAUAGGUUCCAUAAUUAGUAGUUGAUCUCCGCUCAGUUAAUUCACUUGUCCAGCUUGAAUCAGUAUGUAUAGUGACUCCUAUGUACUCAUGUUUCUUGAAGAAUAACCCAUGCUUAGAAGAGAACUUCAAGUACUUCAAUAUCCGGUAAACCAUUUCCAUGUGUUCCUCGUUGGGAUCAUGCAUGUGUUGACUUACAAUCCCAACUGAGUAUGAGAUGUCUGGACGAAUAUAAGUUAGAUAAAUAAGUUUACCAACUGAACGUUGAUAAACAUCUUUAUUUACAGGCAACAUCUUUAUCAUGACUAAUUCUUUUAUUGAGUUCCAUAGGAGUGUUCAUAGAUUUACUAUCAAGCAUUUCAAUUUUCUUUAAAAGAUCCACAACAUAUUUUCUUUAAGAUAGGAAAAUAUCUUUUUCAGAUCUUGCAACUUCCAUGCCUAGAAAAUAUCGUAGAUUUUCAAGGUCUUUGAUGUCAAAUUCUAUGUCCAAUCUCUACUUCAAGCGAGUUAUUUCUUAAGUAUCAUUACCUGUGAUGAUAAUAUCAUCCACGUACACAAUCAAGAUUGCAAUUUUCUUUGCAUCUGAGUGUCUUACAAAUAUUGUAUGAUCAGACUAACACUGAGUGUACCCUGUUGAUUUUACAGCCUUAAUAAACCUUUCGAACUAAGCUCGAGGUGACUGUUUUAAGCCAUUCAAUGCUUUCUUCAACUUACAAACUUUUCCAGUAGAAGGGACCCCUGGAGGGGGUUUCAUGUAUACUUCUUCAAGGAGUUCACCAUUCAAGAAGACGUUCUUCACGUCGAGUUGAUGUAAAUCUCAGUCGAGGUUUGCAGCAAGACUGAGAAUCACUCCAAUGGUAUUAAGCUUAGCAACUGGUAUGAAUGUUUCUUCAUAAUCUAUACCAUAGGUUUGUGUGAAGCCCCGAGAAGCCUUGAGCUACCAAACGAGCUUUGAAUCGUUCAAUAGUCCCAGCUGAUUUGUACUUAACAGCAAAUACCCGCCGGCAGUCAACAAUAUGUUUAUUUUGAGGGAGGAAAACUAAAUUCCAAGUCUGAUUUUCGUAAAGAGCACGCAAUUCCUCUCUAACAGCCUUCUCCCACCUUGGAUCGAGUAAGGCUUCUUCUAUAUUUCGAGGAAUUGUAACUCCAUCUAGAGCAGUAAUAAAGGCUUGAUAACUCGAACUCAAUUCUUCAUAUAAAAUCUGAUUCCCAGUGGGAUAUUUAGUGCAGCUUCUAACCCCUUUGCGGAUGGCAAUGGGAACAUCUAGAUCAGUAUCGACUCCAGGAGAAGAUGGAGUCUCUUCAGUCACAAUAAUAGGUGCUUCUAGUUCAUCGGUAGUAGUGCUGGGUUUCUGUCUCCGAGUAUACACUAGAAGAUCAGGUCUAGUUUGAACAGGUUCGUCUUGUUGUGGUGGGUCUGGGUCCAGCUCGGGCUCUUCAUCCUGCUCUGGGUCCAGAUCAGGUCUAGUUUUCACCGAUCUUUUGUACCAUAGUUGAUAUCAACCAUCCUCGAACCAGGUUGUCUUCGUUAUCCCACUGCUCAUACUUACGAUCGGUUGAUGUUGGCUUCGUUGUUGUGCCGAGAAUGUAACCAAACUCACCACGUCCUGAUGAAGAUCCGAACUGAUCAGGACCAGUGUAGAUAAUUUGAACCAUCCAGUCUGCAGAUCACAUCCUGGUCAGGGUAGGAGAAAUCUGAAUUUGAUUAAGGCGGAACGGCUGAGUUGGGGUUGCCGUUGUCGUUGUUAGGCAACAAUAGAGCUGUUGUCAACCAUGGUUGAAAUAAAUUUAGGGUUUUAGAUUUGCGGAAGCAUGUAUCAGGAUGAGACUCUGAUACCAUAUUAUAAACUAGAAAGAUAUUAGAGAGACAAAAAGAUUGAUAAUUAUUAUUAGGGCUCUAAUGGCCGAUAGGGAUAUUAACAAGGUAGUUUCUUCUUAUACAAGAAACCAAUAUAAUUAAUAUAUCCUAAUCUACCUAAUUAGGAUUUAUUUCUACAGUAUUCAACCCUAUUCAAUGCACAGAAAUCCUAAUCUCAAUAUGGUGAUAUAGGGUUGCUCACCAUCUUGUACGACUCUGAACAUCUCCGUUCACAUGAGCCUGAAUGUGGUUCUAGUAGGUCUUUUCUUGGUUGAAGUGUUCAAUUACACUGGUUUGAUGCGUGUGUUCCAGAAAUAAUUUCUUGUUAAUGGAAUGAACCACCAUACUCUUACUCUUUAGUCGUGUUAAUUAUGUUUGGAGAUUGAGUUGAGUUGGUAACGCAGUGGUGCUUCUUGUAGAGUCCUUUAGUUUCUCGUAAAAUAUCUUGAUUGUUACUCACAUUUUGUUACCAGACGUAGUGCAUUCCUGUGAGUAUCAAGUGUUCUAGACGAGUUCCUAUAUUGAUAUUCGAUGCCAGUUGUUCUCAUUUUUGUAAACUUAUUGUGCAGGUUGGAAAUGGUUGGGGUGUCUUACUGCGGAUUCUGUCACUGUUUCUUGCAGCAGCAACAAGUGUUUUUGUGGUCUUGAGACAUUUUGCCUAGUAACUUUCUUUUGGCCUCAAGACUGUUACAACAUUCCGAGGUUUUUCAAAGUAUCGUCCGGAAUCCAAGAGAAACAAGACACUGUGACGUCGCUAACCGACUCUUUAGACAUGUGAUUAACUGCCUUCUGCAAACAUAGGAUGGAUUCUGGUACUAAUUGUUUUUCUUAUGAAGUUGAAAUAGCAGUGGCUAGUUAGAAGUUGGUAUAAGCCUUGUUUGUAUGUAAUAGUACUCUGUGGUAUCUGGAAUCCAUGUACAUCGGUUUUUCUAUACAAAUAUCAGCAACCCAAUGGGCUAUUUUCUCCUCCCGGCAACCCCGCAACUAAUGAUCUUAUAACCUUCAUUUUAAGAUGAGCAAAGUUGAAAGCGUUAUGCUGCGAAUGCAACUAUUUGAUACAUAAUAAUGUUCAAUGCAACUUUGACAGUAACACUGCUCUUUUUUUUGUUCCGUAUACAACUUCAGUAGUGAUAUAAACUAUCAUGUACAAAGUAAAGUUUCUUGGAACAGCUUCCAGACUGGAGAGGUAGCAGCUCUAAACUUGAGAGGUGACAGUACCAUUUUUCUCCAUUUCCCGCUGUCUUGCUCGCUCGAUCUUCCUCUUCCGCCAUUCUUCUAAAGCUGUGACACUUGCAGACAUGUUAGAGACGUACUACAGGAGUAAUCAGCUAUGACUUCAAAAUUAAAGAGAGCAUUGCAAAUUAGCUUUUUGGUCUGUCUUCCUUGCAAGUGUCUAGUUUGCAGAAAAAUGCAAUGAAUGUGCAUGUUGUUGUAUCGAGAACAUCAUGCUCUCGUGAAGAUCAUUGUCUUUGCUCGUACAGAGAAGCAACAUAACAUCGCUGCUCCAGAGCUACCUUUCUAAUCGGAUGCACAUGAAAUCCAAAAAAAAAGUUGAAACUAAAAGGGGUCACCU